UCGGUGGACUUCUCCUUGGCGGCGUCGGCAGUCUCGGUGGCCGUCUUCUUCACGGCCUCCGUCUUCUCGCCGAGAAAGCUGGCCGUCUGGUCUUUGCCCUCGACGGCGCGAUCCUGACCGGCUUGCACCGUCUCGGACACCUUCCCCAUGGCCUCGCCGCCCAUCUUUUUGGCCGCCUCGGUGGUCUCGGAGGCAGCCUUCGUGACAGCCUCGCUUUUCUCGCCAAGGAAGCUGCCGGUCUGGUCUUUUGCCUCGACGGCACGGUCCUGGAUGGACUGCCCCGUCUCGGACGCCAUCUUCGUGGCCUCGCCGGCCUUAACUUGGGUCGUCUCCACCACCUCCCCCGACUUCUCUUGUAACCAGCUAGACAUUUUCUAAGUCGAUGAAGUGUUGGUGCCUAAUAAUUUGUGUUCUUCUUUUCUUGCGCUUGUUGUGGAGAGACGUGUGUUCUUCCUUUAUAUAGGCCAUUUGCCCCCUUUGCCGAGGUUGAUAUUGAGGAGAAUAUUACAUUGCUUUCGAAGUAUCUUGGGCUUAUAUGAGAUAUUUUGUUGCCAUGGUAUAUGUCAUUGUCGCCACUUGUCCAUUCAGGAUUCAGCUGUAUAUAUAUGCACAAUGGUAUGUCGACACAACACAGUUGCUUAAGAUCUGUCCAUUGAUAUGUGCUUUUAAAGACAUUUUUCUGGAGUAACAAAUGUGGUUGAAAAAAUGUAUCGCGACCAAGACGAAAAGACUGCUCAAAAAAUGACCAAGACGAAAAGAAAAACGAAAGAAAUUAAUGUUAAUUUGCUAAUUAAUAGCAUUGCAUGUAAUGAAUUAACUACUGCAUGUCGUCUUAGUUGGUCUUAAGUCAUUAAAAACAUAUACGUCCCACGUCUCUUAUUGGUUGAUUCCUUUAUUCAUGUCAAAAAACAAGAAAUAAGAUGAAAGUUAAUGCCUAGCGCCUAAGUGUUUUGGGAUUAUAUGAUUUUCGUAAAAUGACUUGUACACGAAGACGAAGGGAAUACCAUGUUUUACUCAUUUAUCGUCAGACCUUGAGUUUAACACUUUGUAUUUAUAAAUACGAGAAUGCAAACAACCAAACAAAUAAAAUUCACACCACACAUACAAAAUGACUCAUACAUGAAAAUAAUAUGAAACCUGUUGAAAUUGGUAGUGGGCUUUAGGCCCAUUAGAGAAUUUUAGAAAAAUCUCCAAGGGCCCAUGUAGGUGGUGGCAUGACAAGGUGGUGUGAAGUUUAGUCCCACCCCGCUAGUGGAGGAGAAGUUGGACCCCUUUAUAAGGGUCUCUCUUCCACAUGCUAUUGGAGAGUGAGAAGAGAAGGUGCCCUCGCGCACUCCUCCUCCGCCGCCCACCUCGCCUCAUCGCGACGCGGGUUGCGGGAAUGAGCCGAGCCGAGCUCAUACCUACGCGCUUAUUUUUGCCGGUCAGGAACGGAGAAUACGUAACGGACACGACACGAUCCGAGACGUCGGACCGUGGGCUGUUACCGACUCGGACGUGGGUUCGGCCCACGUCUCUCCACCCAGCCGCGUUUAUAAGCAGGCUAUCGCCUACCCUAGCCGUCACGAGAAUCAGAUCGCAUCUGCCUCACGCGUUCGUUCCUUUUGCUGCUGCUGCCUCUGGCGACUCCGUCCCGUUUACCGCGUACACGGUCGACGGGAGAGCACGCCUCCGAAACCCCGCCUCUCCGGUUCCUGUACGGGAGAGGGGCGAUUUGGUUUUUGGGGAGCGAUCACGCGACUGCUCACCUCCGUCUGUCUGCUUCAUCUACGUUCGCGUCGCCCUCGUCAUCGCCAUGUCUUCACCAAGCGAAGCUGACCGUCUCGUCUGCGAGAAGGCCGAAGCCGAGAAGAAGGCGGCAGAGGAUGUUGCCGCUGCCACCGCUUCUGCUACGGCCAAUUGGACGAUCGGAGGGUAUGAUAUGUUUAUCUCUCUCCUAUUUUUGUCUGCACUAGUAGUACUGCCUGUAUGCGUAGAUGUUUUUACUAUAUGCGUAGUACUUGCUAGUAUACUCUGUGAUCAGUAUGUCAUGAACCUAGUCAAUGCCAUGUUAGUAAUUAUUUCAUGGAUUAAUCUACUCGGAAAAUUGCCUAUUUACUCAACAAUCCAAAAACCUAAUUUGUGUAGGAAUUUUUCGAGUAAUGGUUUUGCUGCUGCACUGAAACCGGAUAAGUUUACCGGUACUUUUUUCAAGCGUUGGCAAACGAGAACCACCUUAUGGCUCACGACUAUGAACGUGUUCUGGGUAGCCGGUGUCACUCCUACGGAAACUAUCACUCCUGAACAGGAGAAGAUGUUUAAGGAGGCCACCGUCCUAUUCCUUGGAGCAGUCAUUAGCGUGAUCGGAGAUAAGCUGGUUGAUGCAUAUUUACAUAUGCAUGUUGCCAAGGACUUGUGGGAGGCGCUCGAAUCUAAAUUCGGGGCCACCGAUGCUGGGAGUGAGAUGUAUGUUAUGGAGCAGUUCCAUGAUUACAAGAUGGUUGACAACCGUUCUGUAUUGGAACAGGCUCAUGAGAUAAUAUGCAUAGCUAAAGAACUUGAGGUUCUUAAGUGAAAUUUGCCGGGCAAGUUUGUCGCGGGAUGUAUAAUUGCUAAGCUCCCUAAUUCCUGGAGGAACUUUUCUACUACUCUGAAACAUCAGAGGCGUGAGUUCUCAGUAGAGGACAUCAUCGGCCAUCUGAGUGUUGAGCAGAACUCGAGAGCAAAGGACUCCAAUGGAAAAGCGGUGGAAAGCUCUUCUGCUGCCAAUAUGGUACAUCAGAGGAACUUCAAUUCCCACAAGCCCAAGGGAAAGAAUUCUGUCCAACAGAAUACCGACUUCAAGAAGAAGGGAAAGAAGACCUUCAAGAAGAAUAAGAAGGGAGAUGGCUGCUAUACUUGUGGAUCAGAGGAACAUUGGGCGAACAAAUGCCCAAACAAGUACAAGAAGGCGGCGCAGGACUCCAAGUCUGCCAAUAUGAUUGUGGGCAACAAUGAAAGUGGUGCACCUGGGUACGGUAAUUUACUUACUGUAUUUAUAGUUUGUCAGUCCACCGAUUGGUGGGUGGACACGGGUGCAAAUAUUCAUGUGUGUGCUGACUUAUCAUUGUUCUCUUCUUAUCAUGCCAUCGGUCGCGGGUCCGUAUUGAUGGGGAAUGGCGCGAGUGCUUCUGUUCUUGGUGUUGGCACGAUCGAUCUGAAGUUUACUUCGGGAAGGAUCGUGCAGCUGAAGAACGUGCAGCAUGUCCCCGCCAUCAAGAAGAAUCUCGUUAGUGGCUCCCUUCUGUGUAGAGAAGGGUUUAAGUUGGUAUUCGAGUCUAAUAAAUUAGUAGUUACGAAAUAUGGACUUUUCGUUGGAAAAGGUUAUGAAUGCGGAGGUCUGUUCCGCCUUUCUCUUGCAGAUUUUUGUAAUAAAGUCGUGAACAAUAUUCAUUCGAGUGUUAAUGAAUCUGAAGUUUGGCAUUCGCGUCUUUGUCACAUAAGUUUCGGUGUUAUGUCGCGGCUAGCAAAACUGAAUUUAAUCCCAACUUUCACUUUAGCCAAAAGUUCUAAGUGUCAUUCAUGUGUGCAAGCAAAGCAACCUCGCAAGCCUCACAAGGCUGCAGAGGAGAGACACUUGGCACCAUUAGAACUCAUACAUUCUGAUCUUUGUGAGAUGAAUGGUGUGUUGACUAAAGGUGGAAAGAAAUAUUUCAUGACAUUGAUAGAUGAUUCCACUAGAUAUUGCUAUGUGUAUCUGUUAAAUACUAAAGAUGAGGCUCUACACUACUUUAAAAUCUAUAAGGCAGAAGUUGAGAAUCAACUUGAAAAGAAAAUUAAAUGAGUCCGGUCUGAUCGUGGUGGAGAGUACUUCUCAAAGGAAUUUGAUUCAUUUUGUGCGUAACACGACAUUAUUCAUGAGAGGACGCCUCCCUAUUCACCCUAAUCAAAUGGGGUUGCCGAGCGGAAAAACCGUACUCUAACUGAUUUGGUUAACGCCAUGUUAGAUACAUCGGGUUUAUCCAAGGCAUGGUGGGGGGAGGCUAUAUUGACCGUGUGUCAUGUCCUGAAUAAAGUUCCUACAAAAGAUAAUGAGGUCACUCCCUACGAGGAGUGGUCGAAGAGAAGGACGACGCUCUCGUACUUACGUACUUUGGGCUUCUUGGCGAAAGUCAAUGUACCGAUCCCCAAGAAGCGUAAGCUUGGACCAAAGACUGUGGACUGCGUUAAUUUGGGAUACGCUAAGAAUAGCGUAGGCUAUAGAUUUCUAGUAGUGAAAUCUGAGGUACCUGACGUGAAGGUCGGUACAAUAAUGGAGUCAAGGGAUGCUACAUUCGUUGAGGAUAUAUUUCCCAUGAAAGAUAUGCAAAGCACUUCUAGACAGGAAUCUGAGAUAACUCCUGAGCCUGCCAUUCCUAUGGAAUACUAUGAACAAACACAUGAUGAAAAUCCUGAGGAGGAUGACGAGGAAGCCCGUGGUAGGGGCAAGAGACAAAGGACUGCAAAGACCUUUGGUGAUGAUUUCUUCGUAUGCCUCGUGGAUGAUAAUCCCACUUCUAUUUCAGAAGUGUAUGCUUCUCCAGAUGCUGAUUACUGGAAAGCUGCGGUCCGUAGCGAGAUGGAAUCCAUCAUGGCUAACGGGACAUGGGAAAUCACUGAUCGUACCUAUGGUUGCAAACCAUUGGGAUGCAAGUGGGUGUUCAAAAAGAAGCUUAGGCCCGAUGGUACGAUUGAAAAGUACAAGGCUAGGCUUGUGGCCAAGGGCUAUGCCCAGAAAGAAGAAGAAGAUUUCUUCGAUACUUAUUCACAUGUGGCUAGACUGACCACCAUUCGAGUACUACUCUCAUUGGCGGCCUCUCAUGGUCUUCUCGUUCAUCAAAUGGAUGUUAAGACGGCUUUCCUGAAUGGAGAGCUAAAUGAGGAAAUCUAUAUGCAACAGCCAGAUGGCUUUGUGAUAGAAGGUCAGGAAGGAAAGGUGUGUAAGUUACUGAAAUCUUUAUAUGGUCUGAGACAAGCACCUAAGCAAUGGCAUGAGAAGUUUAAUACAACUCUGACAUCUGUUGGCUUCGUUGUUAAUGAAGCUGACAAAUGUGUAUACUAUCGCCAUGGUGGGGGCGAAGGAGUUAUAUUGAGCUUGUAUGUUGAUGGCAUACUGAUAUUUGGAACCAACCUCAAAGUAAUUGAGGAGGUCAAGUCUUUUCUGUCUCAAAACUUUUAGAUGAAGGACCUUGGGGUGGCUGAUGUUAUCUUGAACAUCAAGCUGUUGAGAGAUGAUGAGGGUGCGAUUACACUUCUGCAGUCCCACUAUGUUGAGAAGAUUUUGAGUCGCUUUGGAUAUUCAGAUUGCAAAAUUUCUCAAACACCAUAUGAUCCUAGUGUGCUUAUUAGAAAGUCUAAAGGCACAACUAUAGAUCAAUUGAGAUUCUCUCAAAUUAUCGGUUCGCUUAUGUACCUAGCUAGCGCAACGAGGCCUGACAUCGCGUUUGCUGUGAGCGAACUUAGCCGGUUUGUUGCAAACCCGGGCGAUGUUCAUUGGCGUGGUGUUGAAGGAAUUAUGCGCUACUUGAAAGGUACUGUCAACCACGGGCUUCACUAUACGGGAUUCCCAUCGGUACUUGAAGGGUAUAGUGAUGCGAAUUGGAUCUCUGAUGCUGAUGAGAUGAAGGCCACCACUGGAUAUAUGUUUACUCUUGGGGGUGGUGCUGUUUCCUGGAAGUCUUGCAAGCAAACGAUCUUAACGAGAUCGACAAUGGAAGCAGAAUUAAUAGCAUUAGACACAUCUGGUGUCGAAGCAGAAUUUCUUCGAGAUCUUUUGAUGGACUUACGUGUGGUUGAGAAGCCGGUUCCGGCUAUCCUUAUGAACUGCGAUAAUCAGACGGUUAUUGUCAAAGUGAAGAGUUCAAAGGACAAUAUGAAGUCCAACAAACAUAUAAGAAUGAGAUUGAAGUCUGUCAGACGUUUGAGAAACUCUGGAGUGAUAGCGUUGGAUUACAUCCAAACGGCUAAGAAUCUGGCAGAUCCCUUUACUAAAGGGCUAUCACGUGUUGUGAUAGAUAGUGCAUCGAGGGAGAUGGGUAUGAGACCCACAUGAGUUGCCAUGGUAGUAAUUCAACCUAUAUGAUCGGAGAUCCCGUGAAGUAGGACCUGGGAAAACAAGCCAGUGGUGAACUAAGGAGAGUAACUUUACUAAACCACUCCGUUGGAGAUGCAAUACUCUCGAAUACUGUAUGGUAGGAUGAUUACUGUCUUAAUAUGUUCUAAGGCUUAUAUAUAAGCAAGAUGCUGUCCUACAGAGCGAUCUUUGGAGAAACACACCUAUAUGAGCUUGACUGCUGGUCACAGUCUAUGAGAUUUGGGUGAUCUCCAGUAAACUCAUGAAUAGGCCUGGAGUGUGACUAAUAUGCUCCACCCGAGGGGUCACCUUCGGCAGUCUAGUACUAGUAAGACUUGUGGUGAAGCUCCUUUACGCCAAACUGACAAUUCAAGGCAUAGUCCAUUGUUCAUUUGUAAAGGGGUGUAGCUACUUGCUCUAGGUGAAGCUCAACCUUAACAGGUCUUCACUGAAAUGUUGGUAUAUUAAAACAGUGAUUGGAACGAGGGAACACGAUGUGCCCUUGAGAUCUGGUGGGGGAUUGUUGAAAUUGGUAGUGGGCUUUAGGCCCAUUAGAGAAUUUUAGAAAAAGCUCCAAGGGCCCAUGUAGGUGGUGGCAUGACAAGGUGGUGGGAAGUUUAGUCCCACCCCGCUAGUGGAGGAGAAGUUGGACCCCUUUAUAAGGGUCUCUCUUCCACAUGCUAUUGGAGAGUGAGAAGAGAAGGUGCCCUCGCGCACUCCUCCUCCGCCGCUCGCCUCGCCACGCCUCAUCACGACGCGACGCGACGCGGGUUGCGGGAAUGAGCCGAGCCGAGCUCAUACCUACGCGCUUAUUUUUGCCGGCCAGGAACGGAGAAUACGUAACGGACACGGACGUCGGAUCGUGGGCUGUUACCGACUCGGACGUGGGUUCGGCCCACGUCUCUCCACCCAGCCGCGUUUAUAAGCAGGCUAUCGCCUACCGUAGCCGUCACGAGAAUCAAAUCGCAUCUGCCUCACGCGUUCGUUCCUUUUGCUGCUGCUGCCUCCGGCGACUCCGUCCCGUUUACCGCGUACACGGUCGACGGGAGAGCAGGCCUCCGAAACCCCGCCUCUCCGGUUCCUGUACGGGAGAGGGGCGAUUAGGUUUUUGGGGAGCGAUCACGCGACUGCUCGCCUCCGUCCGUCUGCUUCGUCUACGUCCGCGUCGCCCUCGUCAUCGCCAUGUCUUCACCAAGCGAAGCUGGCCGUCUCGUCCGCGAGAAGGCCGAAGCCGAGAAGAAGGCGGCAGAGGAUGUUGCCGCCGCCACCGCUUCUGCUACGGCCAAUUGGCCGAUCGGAGGGUAUGAUAUGUUUAUCUCUCUCCUAUUUCUGUCUGCACUAGUAGUACUGCCUGUAUGCGUAGAUGUUUCUGCUAUAUGCGUAGUACUUGCUAGUAUACUCCGUGAUCAGUAUGUCAUGAACCUAGUCAAUGCCAUGUUAGUAAUUAUUUCAUGGAUUAAUCUACUCGAAAAAUUGCCUAUUUACUCAACAAAACCUAUGUAUGAGGCGCUCAGAUCCAAAGUCAAACCGUUCCCAACACGCGGUGCCUUGCCCAUGGGGGUGCACCAACAGAGUGACGUGGUAGAUACGUGUGACCUCGCAGUGUGCCUUUUGCCGACGUUGCUCCGGCCUGGUGUUUCUCGACUUGUGUCUUCGAGUGUUCAUGGUUUUUCCGGCAUCCUCUACCGAUGUGGUUUCGGCCCUAAUAACCCGGUAGUUGUGUUCCUUCCGUCUCCCUCUGCUCGUUGGUGUCUUGACGGUUAUGGCAUCGUCGGCUCGGAUCUGCGCCACUUCCAGUUCCUUGCUCAUUGCCAGCCAAAGCUGUUACAAUCGCGACUCAAGCUUUAGAAUUUUAUGACUUACGAUCCGAACUAAGCCCUCUUAUUCUAUGAUUUCUCUCAUAGAAUCUAAGUUUCUAUGAUCCUGGUAGUUAUGGUUCUACGAUUCACGAUCCUACCAAUGAAGCUCCGGUCUAAUUCAGAAUCUCGAUUCUGACAACUUUGUUGCCAGCUGUUGUCGCUUCCCCUGCAUCGUUUCUCUCUGCCUCAUUGCCUCCCCGAUCAUGUCCACCUCUACGCCUCGCCUUGUGCCUGAUGUAUUGCUCGCGGUCCGACAGUGCUCGGUGUCGUCCUUUGGCAACAAGUGCAGCCCCACACCCCUUUCCUGAUGUGGCGGUUUCGACCGACGGCGUGAGUUCCUCAUCUCUAAUUUCCGAACAGAUGGAUAUGGGAUUGCCAGGACUCAGGCAAGGGUGAAAUCUUUGUUUGGCUUGCCGAUGCUGUCAGCGGCGACAUUCGAGGGUACCGUUUUCUUCUUGAAGGCGCUGCCAUGGCCUUCAUCCAAGCCGAGCACAUGAGAAACAAUUGGUCAAGUUGAAGGUGCCAUCUUGUUCGCUCGUUGUAUCCCUGCGGUUAGCUUUGGUGAUGUUGGUUGUCGUGGCCGUUUCGGCCUUCCCCUCUGCUUGGAGGCUUGUUGGUUUAGCUGUGUCGUACCCUCCUUUCGGGUCGAGCAUCCCCUUUUCUCUCUGCUCAUUGCACCAUGUACAUGCCAUCUUGUGUUCGUGUAUUGUAUUGGACCCUCAACGAAAUAAUACGUAAGCUUUACGCAUCCACGAAAUAUAAGUGGCCACCGAUGUUGGAUCUGUGUCUAGCCAACUCUCCAUGUAUUGGAUCUACACAAAGACCAGUGAAAGAUCUAGAGGGUGGACAGGGUGGGCAGCCCAUCUUAAUUUUUUCCAAUAGCCUUUACAUUAUUGGUUUUGCUAGAACUCAUCUAGUUGAAUUUUUAUUAUGUCUCAUUCAUCCUUUAUAACCAUUGAAUGUGAUUAUAAGAUGCGUUUGUGCUGACGUGGGUUGUAGUACUAUUUUAUAUUUGUUUUUUUCUAGGUGAAUGCGACUAAAUUAUAUUCAUUUAGAUGAGAUCGAAACACUUCCUUACAUUAUAUAGUUUUAAAAGGAAAACCUAGUAGAUUUAUACGAGCAAUUACACCGUUGGCCAUCCUGGUCCAUUGGGCUGGAUUCCCCACUAACAAAUACCAAGCAUGAUGCAAUUUUUUCUCAAGAAAAGUAUGAUGCAAACACGUGAAUACGAAUAUAACACAGUGAAGAAUACAACUUUUGUGAAAGUGGCAUCGUUAUUCAUUCAUGCAUAGCUUUUCUGCUUUAGCACUUGGCAAAGGGCCACCGUCCCCACCACAAAUUUGAGCAAUUCACCUGGCAUCCGAACCAUGCAGCUAGGCGCUAGCUAGUGGUCGACAUGGAUCGCCGACGUCUCCCGGCACCACCGGUUCCGUGAAUCCUGCGCGUAGCACAGGACAAACGGGUGGAUGGCAUAUGCAUGGUCGACAUAGGGCGCCGACGUCUGUGACAUCGCUCUCGAUCGUCUCCCGGCACCACUCGUUCCCGUUGGCCGUUAUCGAUCGAGACACAUGGUGAGACAGGAACGGGCCACUUGGACGUGGCGUCGCAUACACUUCGCCGACGUGACUGCAGGCAGCUCGUUCUGUCCGAGGGGGUCCAAUUCCAAAUGGCCCAUGUUCAAAGGAAAACGUUUAACGGCUACACGCUGGCCGAAGAUCUUCGGCCAGCGCCUGCCUCAUGUCGCACUGGAUCCACACACGCAUCACAUCCACGCACAGCGAGUUACAUCUGGCCUUACAUAGGCCCGUGCAACCUUAUUCACCCUCUAGUGGCUUAGGCCCUGUUUGUUUCAGAAGUUUCGGGACAUUUUUUUUAGUCUUAACUUAAAAGUCCCUAGUCCCUAUCCGUUUAUUUUCAGGGAUUAAAUAGAGACUAGAGGUCAUUGAAUGACAUGUAAAAAGACCAUGUUACCCUUAGUAAUGUAGUAGUAGUUAUUAAAUGACAUGUUAAAAGUAGGGGCAUUGUUGGAAAAAGUGCCAAAAAGUCCCAAAAAGACCCUUCCAUAGGGACUUCUCCAAAUAGUCUCAAAUACCCCCUUUUAGUCCCUAAAAGUCCCUCCUGUUUGUUUCACACGAGACUUUUUGAGACUUUUUUUAGUCCCUACACCAAAAAGUCCGUGGAAACAAACACCCCCUUAGUCCCCAUCUCUCUCCUCCCGUCCACGCAUACUCUGAUGUUUUCAUGCUGCCCCACGGUCCCUCCUUUUAGAGUUACUUGCAAAAUACUACCACAAUUCGGGCCGUAUUUACAAGUUGGUGUCAUUUUGCAAUUUUUUUGCAAAUACGUAUCAAGAUACACACAGCUUCUUGCAAAACUUGCAUUUCUACGUAUAGAUGCUCUUUCUGACAGAUAUGGUCCACCGGUCAGUCUCUUACAAGAAAAAUCGGCCCGGACCGCUUCGAUCAGGGGAAAACCGACUCUUUCUCUCCAUCCAGACCGGACAGGCAAAAAAAAACCUUCGUCUCCUCCAGACCAUCUCCCCUGCUCCUCCACCCCGCCUCCCCCUCACCGCCACCACCGCCACACCCCGCCGGCCACUCCCUCCACCCCACCGCAACCACCAGCACCGCCCCUCCCUCCUGCGCCCCCGCCUCCUCACCGUCCGCGGCGUCGCCGGCGCUGCUUGACGGUUCUGGUCGCAUGUCGGACCGUCCGAUCCGCGUGCUGCGUGUGCCGGCGUCCCGCGCCACUGUGUGGCGCAGGCUCUCCUCGCCCGCGGUCACCAUGUCCCUGCGCACGUGCUCCAGGAGGCGCAGCGUGAACCGCUCCAAGUCGCCGUCGAACCGCGCGGAGAGGGAGUGGCCCGUCGAGUGCGCGUGUGAGAACGGCCGCCCCGACCGCGACCGCGAUCGCACCGCGCGCCGCAUGCUGUCGAUCCACUCCAGCUCCGCUGCUUCCCUCAUUCUCUCCUCCUGCUCCUCGCCGUCGCCCUCGCGGUUCAUGUCGAUGGACACCUCCGGCGCCCGCUGCUCCUCCCCGCCGGCGCCGUCCGCUUCGGCCGCCGCCGUGGCUGCUGGCUCCUCCGGGGCGAGGCUGCAGCGGCAGACGGGGCAGGUGACGUGGCCGACGAGCCACUCCCCGAUGUAGUCCGGGUGGAACGCGUGGCUGCACUUGGGGAGGAGGCGGAGCUGGUCCCCGUCCUCGAACUCGCUGAGGCAGACGACGCACUCGAGCACGGCCGUGCUGUCCUCGCCCUUGCCUCCCGCUUCCUUCUCAUGGAGCUCCCUCGCCUCGGCGUAGGUCAUGGCGGGGAAGGAGGCGACCACCUCCGGGUCGAGCCCACGCGGCCGGGCCUACUGUUGUUGCUCCUACCGCGACAGCACGAGGAAGGCCGCGGCCGGGAUGGUGGGGGAGUUCCCGCGGCCGCACUGGCAGAUGUAGAUGGAGAAGAAGCCGAUGAAGAAGAAGGUGGCGAUGAGCACCACGAGGAGCACCACCAUGGGCGCGCUGAAGCUGGGCGGCUUCCUCGCGCCGUACACGACCCCUCUCCCGCUGUCGCUCGUCCUGUCCCACUCGUCGUCGUCCGCCCGAGCGACUGCGCCGGUCGCGAGGAGGAGCUCCGCGAGCAGCACCGCAUGGCAUAUCUAUCGGCGGCGUCGGUAUCGACAUCGACGCGUUUCUCGGUGCCGCGGUAUAAAAACGAACGAGUGAAGGAAGGAAGGAAGGAAGGAAGCAGGCAGUGGAGCGACGCGUGCGUGGCUGGAUUACUUUGCGACCGGAACCGUCAAGCAGCGCCGGCGACGCCGCAGACGGUGAGGAGGCGGGGGGCGGGGGCGGAGGAGGGAGGGGGCGGUGCUGGUGGUUGCGGUGGGGUGGAGGGAGUGGCCGGCGGGGUGUGGCGGUGGUGGCAGUGAGGGGGAGGCAGGGUGAAGUAGCACGGGGGAUGGUGGUCUGGAGGAGACGAAGGUUUUUUUUGCCUGUCCGGCCUGGAUGGAGAGAAAGAGUCGGUUUUCCCUGGAUCGAAGCGGUCAGGGCCGGUUUUCUUGUAAGAAACUGACCGGUGGGCCAUAUCUGCCACAAAGAGCAUCUAUACGUAGAAAUACAAGUUUUGCAACAAGCUACGUGUAUCUUGGUACGUGUUUGCAAAAAAAUUGAAAGAUGAUAUCAACUUAUGAAUACGGUUCGAAUUAUGAUAGUCUUUUGCAAUUAACUCCUGCUUUUGCCGUUGUUUUCCCUCCAUUCAGGACGUCACAGAUGAGUAUGCCGGCAACUACACCUGGCACGAGCGGUGGAACCGGAGAAUGGCUAACCCAAAACCGUAACCUGAUGUACUACUAUCGGUUGGCAGGGACGAAGCCAUCAAUCUGGCAAGAUUUGAUGUCCGCCACACCUAAAAUUUGAUACAAAUAGCAGGGACGAAGCCAUCAAUCUGGCAAGAUUUGAUGUCCGCCACACCUAAAAUUUGAUACAAAUACACUAGCAUGCUCCUGUAGUACGUCUUUGAUUUUAGCUGAUCCAUGCGUCCAGCCGGCCAUCUCAACAUGUGGCUUUGAAUACACAGUAUAUAUGCCAGAAAUUGCUUUUCGAGCUCCGCCUUUAUGGAGACCACCAAAUUCAAAAUUAAACAUUUAUAAAAAUUUAUAUUUUUACGGCUGAAAAAAUUCUGAAAAAAAUUAUAGAUAUAUAUCAAGGCAUAAUGCACAAGUGUGUAAAUUUGCAGGUCAAAAUAUGUUGAAAUGAGGGUUGUGGAACAAAAAACAAAUCUGAGUGUUUUUAACGCAUGAUACUAUUCAUCAUUUUAGGUCUUGAAUUUGUUUUUUUGUACAGUUGGCAAUUCAAAGUAUUUCAUCGUGAAUUUUGACACAUCGUGUAUAUUACAUCCUUACAUACAUGCAUAUUUUUUCAGAAUUUUUUGAAACAAAAGAAUGAUUCUUUUCUUUCAAAAUUCAGUCUCCAUGGAGCUGGAGAUCCAAAAGGCCUUAAAGCAUCUCUGGCAGAUCCCACAUUUUCGCGGAAACUGUAUAAAUAACUGCCGUUUUGCCGUUUCGGACCGAAAAGGCUCGCGGAGCAGAUCCCACAAAAGUGAUCGGCCUACCAAAAAUUUUGAGGGGCGCGACAGUUUUCGUCGGCGAAACUGUGAAAACAAGGUUUUGCGACGAGACCCGGGGGUGCCCUGCAUUGCGCGGAAAUACUUGGCGGGAGGGACAUUUCAGCGCGCGGGUUGCUUCCCUCCCCUUUUCCCUUCCAGCCGCCACGACCGCCCUCGCCGUCGACGCCCUAGAUUCCGGCCGCCGAACACCUUCUGCCCACCUCCGCCGCCGCCGCACGUCAUCGCAGGCCCUGCGCGUCCGGGCUCCGACGGCGGCGCGGGGUCUUUGUCUCCGCCGCCCAAGAUCGAGGCCACCCCGACGAAAGGGCAUCCGCCACCGCGGCGCCGCCUGUCGGGACCGACCCCACCGCUUCGGCCUCUUGAUCUCAGGUGGGAUUUGCCUCCUUCUCCCCCUCCACCCCAACUGCUCCAUCGUGCACUCUCAUUUUCUUCUUUCGGGAGAUGGAAUUGAGCUCCGAUGAGGAAUUUGUGCUCGUCGAUUCUUCCUCCUCCGACGACUCGGAUGUGGAGAAUCUCCUGGCGAACCAUCGGCAGCAGAUGUUGGUGGUCAUGAUGGCCAUCAAGGAGUACGAGGAUCGACGGAGGAGUCAGCGGCGUGGAUCGAAGGUAGGCCUCCUAUGCAUCCCGCGCUAUCGCCACCUCGGCAACAAACUGCUGAUGCGAGACUACUUCGCCCAGCGGCCAACCUAUCCCGCCAACCUCUUCCGGCGAAGGUAACGAAUGCGUCGAUCCCUCUUUGUCAAAACAGUAGAGGCUUGCGAGUCAAAUUCUCGCUAUUUUACUCGCUGGAGGAACGCCGCUGGAUUAUUGGGAUUUAGUGCAUACCAAAAGAUAUCCGUAGCCAUGAGGGUCAUUGCAUACGAAAUCGCUGCGGACUUCGCCGAUGAGUAUCUUCGUAUUUGUGCACAUACUACAAUAGAGUCCGUGCGUAGGUUCGCGAAGGUUAUGAUCCAUGUGUUUGGUCCAACUUAUCUUCGAGCACCAAACGAAGAUGAUACAAAGAGGUUGAUGACGAUGAAUGAAAGGAGAGGCUGGCCGGGUAUGCUAGGUAGCAUAGAUUGCAUGCAUUGGACUUGGAAAAAUUGCCCGAAGGCUUGACACGGGCAAUAUUGUGGCAAAAGCCGAGAUGCAACAAUUGUGCUUGAGGUCUUAGCGUCCGAGGAUUUGUGGAUAUGGCAUUGCCACUUCGGUUUGCGGGGCACCAACAAUGAUAUCAAUGUGUUGCAACGGUCACACCUAUUUGGAAGGCUUGCUAGUGGUAAUGCUCCUCCUUGCAACUUCACUGUGAAUGGUAAUGCCUACACUCAAGGGUACUACCUUGCCGACGACAUUUAUCCUCCUUGGACUACUUUUAUGAAAACUAUAUCCAAUCCAAGCACUAGGAAACAAGCUGAAUUUGCUAAGCAACAAGAGGCGUGGAGAAAGGAUAUUGAGAGAGCCUUUGGGGUUUUGCAAUCUAGAUUUGCUAUUGUUCGUGGGCCAGCUCGUUUUUGGGAUAAGAAAACCCUCAGCAACAUCAUGCCAUGUUGUGUGAUUCUUCACAACACGAUCAUUGAAGAUGAGAGGGAUUUAAACUUGGAGUUCUUCUACGACAAAGUUGGUAGCUGUGUGAAGCCAUCCAGAAACCCUGACCGUAUUCAGGCUUUCCUGAAGCCCUACCGGCAUAUAGAAGACGCCCAUGGGCACACCCAGCUGCAGCAUUAAUCUCACUAAGCACAUAUGGCAGUUGCAUGGACAGUGGAGAUUUUUACGUUCAUCUAUUUGAUUGUUGUGUAAUCUGAACUAUUCUCUUAUUCCGGACAAUUGUUGUAUUGGAUUAUUUAUUUAAUUCUUUCAUUUGAACCAUUUUUGUAAGUUUGACAAUUGUUGUAAUGUACCGAAGGACAAAGGGANNNNNNNNNNNNNNNNNNNNNNNNNNNNNNNNNNNNNNNNNNNNNNNNNNNNNNNNNNNNNNNNNNNNNNNNNNNNNNNNNNNNNNNUGCGACGUUCCCCAACAGUGGCAUCAUGAGCUAGGUUCAUGCGUAGAUGUCUUCUCGAGUAGAACACAAAAGGUUUUGUGGGCGGUGAUGUGCGUUUUGCUGCCCUCCUUAGUCUUUUCUUGAUUCCGCGGCAUUGUUGGAUUGAAGCGGCUUGGACCGACAUUACUCGUACGCUUACGAGAGACUGGUUUCAUCGUUACGAGUAACUCCGUUGCUCAAAGAUGACUGGCAAGUGUCGGUUUCUCCAACUUUAGUUGAAUCGGAUUUGACCGAGGAGGUCCUUGGAUGAGGUUAAAUAGCAACUCAUAUAUCUCCGUUGUGGUGUUUGCGUAAGUAAGAUGCGAUCCUACUAGAUACCCAUGGUCACCACGUAAAACAUGCAACAACAAAAUUAGAGGACGUCUAACUUGUUUUUGCAGGGUAUGCUUGUGAUGUGAUAUGGCCAAUGAUGUGAUGUGAUAUAUUGGAUGUAUGAGAUGAUCAUCUUGUAAUAGAAAUAUCGACUUGCACGUCGAUGGUACGGCAACCGGCAGGAGCCAUAGGGUUGUCUUUAUACUAACGUGUGUGCUUGCACAUGCGUUUACUAUUUUGCUAGGAUGUAGCUUUAGUAGUAAUAGCAUGAGUAGCACGACAACCCCGAUGGCAACACGUUGAUGGAGAUCAUGGUGUGGCACCGGUGACAAGAAGAUCGUGCCGGUGCUUUGGUGAUGGAGAUCAAGAAGCACGUGAUGAUGGCCAUAUCAUGUCACUUAUGAAUUGCAUGUGAUGUUAAUCCUUUUAUGCACCUUAUUUUGCUUAGAACGACGGUAGCAUUAUGAGGUGAUCUCUCACUAAAAUUUCAAGACGAAAUUGUGUUCUCCCCGACUGUGCACCGUUGCUACAGUUCGUCAUUUCGAGACACCACGUGAUGAUCGGGUGUGAUAGACUCAACGUUCACAUACAACGGGUGCAAAACAGUUGCACACGCGGAACACUCGGGUUAAGCUUGAUGAGCCUAGCAUGUGCAGACAUGGCCUCGGAACACAUGAGACCGAAAGGUCGAUCAUGAAUCAUAUAGAUGAUAUGAUUAGCAUAGGGAUGCUUACCACUGAAACUAUACUCAACUCACGUGAUGAUCGGACUUGAAUAGCAGCCAUUGGCCUCCCCUUCAACAUGGAAGCCACUUGUUCAUUCGUGGCCAAAGAUGUCUGUAGUGAAAGUCGGACGAAGAGAGGGUAUUCUUCCAUGUCAUCAAUUAUUUUGAACAAAUUCUCAUUCGGGUUGGUCACGUGUGUGAAACGCAUGGUAUCUGACAUAUCACGCAGUGACCGCGUCAUGUCUUGAACCACACUCUCAUCACACUUCACCCUCUUACCUUUAUUGCGUUUGUCACCUCGAGGACGCUUUGAACAUGAGCUUUCAUUGUUGGUGUCAUCAGGAAGACAAUCUGAAUCAUAAUGGGUUGCAGGAUCAACCUCAACAUCACUAGCAUUCUUCUCGGUAUCACCAAUAAAAUCCUUGUGACGAGCCUGAACACGGUCAUAUGGUGUUUGAAGGACCAUGAACUCUCCAGUAGCAUGCUUAUCCUGAAAUAUGAACUCCAUCUCAUCAAAGUUGGCAAUUGGCACAUUGAUAUAUUUUGCCCUUUUGUCUUUAUUAUGGAAGAGAGAAGAAGAAUGAAAAUGUUAGUUAUUAGUCACGAAAGAAAAAACAUGAUACUCGAUGAAACUAUAAUUUGACUUAAUUGAUAUGUAGUCCUCACAUUCUUCAUACGAACAACUUCUGUCUCAUCAUAUAAUAUUAUCUUGUUGACAUCAUCAAAAUUGGCACCACUUAAGUUCUUCGCCUCUAGUACAAUCUUCCACUGACCUUUGAGCUUGUGGAACUUGUGAUAAACUUGUCGUUGUGUGAAGGCAGUGGUAAACCUUGCAUUGAUUUGUUUUGCACAUUCCUCAUGAUGUGUCUCUUUGAAAACAAAUUGUUUUCCCUCAGACUGAAUCUUCUCUUUGUAGUAACGUAACAUUUCAUCAACAACUUGGGGCUGCCACACCACAUUGUUUCCUGAUAUAUCCUGUGGUACCAUUUAAAUUUUAUAAUGCAUAGACAUAAUAACAUCACUGAGAUGCAUAUAACAUUGCAUUCGUACCUAGGGAAAGAUAUAACUUUGCAAAAAAUCAUGGUUACUAGUUAAAGGCAAAAAACACACACGUUGUUCUCGGUAGUGCUAAUACAACUUAGAAUAAAAAAAACUCAUACAUGUAGCUUGAAAAAAAUCAACCACGUCUAACAUUAUGCCUAUUUCUCCACAUAUUGGCUGCCAUGGUAUCCCUAUCUCGAAGCACUUCCCUUUGUUCCUCACGUAAAUCUCGUUGGACACGGCCAGCUGAUCUUGGAUAUUGUUCAAACCAGUUUUGCUCACUGUAGACUAGUUCAUCAGGACCCCCGUUUAGUAAUAUCCAGUUGUGAAGGAUACAACAUGCUAUGACAACUCGCACUUGUGAAGGAAAGGGAUAAUAUGGCCUUGUUGUUAGAACUUUGAAACGGUUCUUCAAAGUUCCGAAUGCCCUCUCAACAGUAGUACGAAGGGAUGAGUGUCUUAAAUUGAAUAGCUCAUUUUGUGUCCGAGGUCUAUUAUUACCCCUCCAUUCACGCAAAUGAUAUUGAGUUUGACGGAACGGCGGUAGGAAUCCUUUCCUAGCUGCAUAUCCCGCAUCCGCAAGAUAGUACUUACCUAACAUGACAUUAUCGACAAUUAAUCAAUCAUGCGCUCUGUAUGUUAUAUCAUAAUAUGUAAAAAUUGCAGGGGCCUACCUUCAGGGACUCUAAGGCCAUUUGGAUGCUCAAGAGAAUGUCUUAAAACGGUUGAAUCGUGUGCCGAACCCUCCCAGCCCGCACAAACAUAAGUGAACAACAAAUCAAAGUCGACCGCGGCAAGAACAUUUUGUGUAGGGAAUGGUUUCCUGCCGCGAAAUCUGUCAACUAUCCGAGAUGGAACGUUGCAUGGAACAUGUGUACCAUCAAUAGCACCAAUACAAUCCUAAAUAUCGAAUUAAAAAUUAAUUAGUAAUACACCUACUGCACUAUGAAGUUAUUUUAAAAUUUAUGGAUACCAAGAUGCACACUGUACUAUACCUUAAAAUAGGGAUCAAAUCGUAGGUUGCCUUGAAUUUUUGACGGUGUAUCGAGUGUGCGAUGCCUAAGCAUUUCUGGGCCAAGUUUCCCAAUUGCAAAUAAAACUUUGUUGAAGUAACGACUCACUGUUUCACCUGACCUUUUAAAAUGGAAACUAAUAGCGACAUUUUUCUUAUGAUGCCCUACAGUAGUGAGGAACAUGGCUACUUGUUCCUCAACAGUACAAUGCCAUGUAUCUUUAAGUUGUCUCAUACUCCGUAAUUUAUGACACAGUUUGAAGAAAACUGAUUUUCCCAUACGUAAUUCCGCAAUGCAGUGUUUCUCCUCGCCGCAGUAAAGUUUGCGUAGAUAUGCCAUUCUUUCUUUAUUUCUCUCUAACAAUGAGUAUCUUAUAGGAUGACUAGAGUUGCUUAGAUAUACGAUCAAUGCAUAAUAUGUCACCACAAAUGCACUGAAGAACGCUAUUUUUCUGUUAAUUUGCGCAUUGCCGUCCAUCUAUAAAUCAGUGAAAGAAAAAUAAAUAUUAAUGUCUUACACAACACGGCGCCAUCAGUAUAUACACAGUCAUAAGCAGACCUAAAUCCUAACAAAUCAAUUCAGAUCCAUGUAAAAUAGAUAGCUCCAUAUCCAUGUUUGAGUACGGACCAAAUCAAGAAAUCUGAUGCAGAUGUAUGUUCAUACAAGUCAACCACUAUCAUGCACUUCUAGUACGGUAGCACUUAAUUUCAGAUUGACUAGAAAUAAAAACUGGGUGUUAGGUGCGCACCAACAGCAGGAUUAUGCCCCAGCCCCAACACCACAACCUGCCAUUAGAGUGAGCUUGCUGUCACAUGGCCGCACUAAUCAUAUCCUAAAGACAGGUCAUCCAAGAAAAAUCCAACCAUGAAGACCAUGGGAAAUAUACAGAACUAAUUGGGAUCUGGAGCCUCUCGUACUAAUCAACCCUUGAGCCAGCCACUCUAGUCACAGGAGAAAGAUUCAUACACACAGGCAGGAAGAUUCAAGAGAUGUGGAGGGGGAUGCAUACCUGAUCAAGGAGGAUGAGGCGUCCGCUUUUAGAUCUGGAGCUCGUCUUCACCAAAUCAUGGAGGGGAACAGCCAACUCGCUCUAUUUAUCCGGUGGGAAAUACCAAGAUUUCAGGAUUUCGUUGGGGAUGAGGAGAAAACGGGGAGAGUGGAGGAGGUCCGAGUGGAGAGGAUAUAGGGAUUUGUUGCAGACGAGUUCAUCCAUCCGGAGCGUUCGGCGUCGGUUUGUUUCGCGCGUCCGAGUUUGCCGUCGAGGGCGAGUCAAAUCGGCUCUCCCUGUUGAGCGAGGAUUUUCUGACCCGUCAAGAUUAUCUGCCCCAAAAGCAAGGUAUUAUUUGGGCUACCAAACGGAUAGCCUAGCCUAGCAAGGCAAAAACGACUUUUGCCAAGUAACCAAACACACCCUAAGUGGCACCGUAGUGCGUACUGCGUAGUCGAUCAAUCUCGCGCGCAAACACACAAGGCCUAAGCCGCUGGUUGCUUGGCAGCGCAUCGGUCACCACGUCGGAUCGACGCUCGCACUGCUCGAAAAGGAAGCAGGUUGCACGGCGAGAACGCCGGCGGCGCACGCGACGUGUCCACAUCAGGUGCUGCAGAGCACGUAGUUGGUUAAAAAGUCCUAACACUUUUUUUUUAGUUUUAACUAGUAAAAAGUUCCUAGCAUCUGUUUAAUUUCACAGAGUAAAUAUGAAUCAACUGUUAUUAAAUUACAUGCAAAAAGGCCCUGUUACCCUAGUACUCUCUCCGUGUACGUAUACCUAGGUUGUCAAUUUAACUUAUAUAAAAUAUAUUAUUUAAUAUAAAAAUUAUAUCAUUAUUUUCUCCGUUCCUAAAUAUAAGUCUUCCUAAAGGUUUCACUAAUGGAUUACGAUGUAUGUAGAUAUACUUUAGAGUAUAGAUUCACUCAUUUUGCUCCGUAUGUAGACACCUAGUGAAAUAUAUUAAAAGACUUAUAUUUAGGUACGGAGGGAGUAAAAAAUAAAACAUCUAAAGUUUCUUAUGAUAUAUUUUUAUAAUAUAUGCCUCUCAUUAAAUUGGUCAAAUUGACGACCUAGAUACACGUACCGGACUUAUAAACUGAAACGAAAAAGUAAUAAACUAAAUAUUAUUAAAUAAUAUGUUAAAAGCUAAAAAAGUCUAAAAAGACUCUUUUUAGGUUUUAUUUUUUUAGUCCCAAAUGCCCACUCGUAAUCCCUAAUAUCCUUAUAUUUUGUUUAAAUAAAACUAAUAUUUUUAAUCCUUACACCAAAAAUUGCAUUUAAACAAACACCCUCGCAGUCCCGAGACCCAGGUCUGUCAGACUGUCACGGUCGAGCCAUGCGCCGGCAAAGGGCAAAAUGGACAAAUUUAACCUCUUUGCUGAAUGAAUUCACAGACUGAACCUAGUUCAAAACAAAUUCACCGAGUUGAUCCUUUUGUGUGACGUCCGACGUGUAGGCGCCACACUACAGUGUGUGACGCCUGAGCCUUGGACGUUGCUCAUGCUGUAGUGUGACGCCGAGCACUUAGGCGUCACACAUGCACUUAUGCAUUAUGCAGCCCGCGGCCGAAUCCAGACGGCCGGUCGGCCGGCGGUCAGUCGAAGCGGCGGCCGUGCCAUGCGGAGCUGAGCAGGACGCGGCCGAAGCUGGCGCCCUCCAUGCGCGUCGCCCUGCUCGCCCUCGCCACCUCGCCUACGGCCGCGCCCAUGCCUGCCUCGCCGUUCUCCGCCUCCUCCAUGCCCGCCAUGCACGCUACGGGAAGGAUCGACGGGUGCAGCAGCUCGCGGCGUCUGCUCGCAAGGACGCGCGAGCACCUGCCAUGGCCAUGCCGCACAUGCGCGCGCCGGAAGCGCCAGGCCGGGGGCCCGACUAUUUGGAUGGCAUCCCUGACGACCUCGUGCUGUCAAUCUUCUCCAAGCUUGCCGCGUCCGCGACCUCCCCGUCCGACCUACUCUCCGUCUACCUAACGUACGCCCCCGCGCGCCUCCGCGUUUGGUUCAACUGCUUGAACUCAUGCCGCUUUGUAUGAGUAUGUAUGGAUGGUUGGUUGGCUGAAUUUGUUUGUGUGUGCCUUUAACGUUUUAGGUGCAAGCGGCUCAACGGCCUUGGGCAGCAGGAUAUGGUGUUCGCCAAGGCCUCGCCGGCGUCGCUCGCGGCCUGGUCGGAGCCCGUGCAGCGGUUUCUGAAGCGCUGCGCCGACGCCGGCAACCUCGAGGCCUGCUACAUUCUCAGCAUGGUAAGAGUCGAUGACCAAAUCCAGUUGACUUGAUCGUUUAGCUUGACAUCCGUGCAUGCAUACAUGGUCGGAGUUUCAGGGAUGGAGUGCUGAUGAGCGCCAUGCGUUUUUGCAGAUCCGUUUCUAUUGCCUUGGCAGCCGGAGCGGCGGCGCGGCCCUGCUCGCGAAGGCGGCAGUCGGCGGGCACCCGGCCGCGCUCUACUCGCUUGCUGUAAUCCAGUUCAACGGGAGCGGGGGUGCCAAGUCUGACCGCGACCUGCGCGUCGGGGCUUCCCUGUGGCUGCUGGCGUCGGGCUUUGGGAGGUGGAAUGCAUGUGUGGCGUCUAAGUGCUCGGCGUCACACUGCAGCAUGUGUACGUCCGAGGCUUAGGCGUCACACAGCCAGGAUGGGCCCUGCAGCACCAGCGUGGCCUUUUUGUACAACGCCUAAGGCUUAGGCGUCACACAGUGUAGUAUGGCGCCUACGCGUCGGACGCCACACAAAAGGGUUAGCUCGGUGAAUUUUUUUUGAACUAGGUUCAGUCUGUGAAUUUAUUUAGCAUAGAGGUUAAAUUUGUCAAUUUUGCACCGGCAAAGGAACCUCUCUUUCAUUAAACCUCGAUCCUCACGCCGGAGUGUGGACCGCCCCCGUAGCUGCCCGUCCCUAAAAACAAACUAGCUCUGGCUGCGCACACGUGACCGCACUAUUUUUCUUUAGGAAAGGUUGCUGACUUUUAUUAAUGGAAAAAAUCUCACUUCAUCUUAAAAUAAAUGUCGUGAUUUUAGUUUUAAUAAGUUCAAAUUUAAAGUAAGUCGCGACACAUAUUUUUGGUCAGAGAGAGUAUAAAACAAAACUUAUAGAUAAAUACUAAAUCAAAUCUUAAACUUUAAAUCUUGAAAAUUGAUACUUUAAACUUAUCAAUCCCGGUCUAUUUCAAACCUUAAGAGUAUUUAGCUUGUAUUCGUGGAGACGGGCCAGCCCAUUGGUGCAGUCGCUUGCGCCGCUCAUGCAUAGCUGUAGGUUCGCCUGCUUUAGUCUGUUUUUUUUUCUUUUUCCCUUCUCCCUUUAGCCUUUCUUUGAUUUUUCAUCAGUUUUCUUUGGUUUUUUCUCCUUAGUUAUACUUUAUGUUUUCACUGAUCUCUUUGAAUUUUUUCUCUGUUAUAUUUUUGGUUUUCUUUUGUUUUUUAUUUAUUUUUAAUAUAUUUUCUUUCUUUUUUCUUUGCCGGUUUUAAUUGAUUUUAUUUUUAAAACAUGUCUACUUUUUCUUAGUAUACAAUGUAUAUUUUUAGCACACAUAUGUAAUAUUUUUUUUCAAGAAAUUCCAAAACUUUACUUUAAAAAUGGGACACAUUUUUCAAAAAUCUAAAACAUUUUGCAUAGUAUAGGAAAAAAUGUUGGAAUUCUCAUGAUUUUUGACAAAUGUGAUUUUUUUAAAAAUCAUGAACAGUUAUAUACAUUGCAAAAAUAAUAAAAAUUUCAAAAGAUAUUUUUGAAAAUGCAAAGGAAUUGAAUUUGUGUCAAAAAUAGAUAACAUGAAGAUUUUUUAACUUUAGACCACGAAUAGAAAACAUGCGGAAAAUUCUCAACCUCACGAAUUCUUCUUCUGGUAUAGUGGGCUGACCUAAUUUCUCGUCUGUGAGAGUAGCGGGUUAAAAUAAUGUCUCGAGAUCUCAUUUUUUUAUGAGUUAAAAGAAUGCCAUUACAAAAACACAAGUUGAAAAUAUACCACUACAACAUCCUUGUAUGUGUAUCUAUGCCAUUUUCUCCAAUACCGGGUCAUAUACUCCCCUUAUACGUUUGCACGUACAUAUAUACGAACAUGUGACACACCACACGAAGUAGCACACACAAAAUCGCAACCAUUCUCCAUCCUGAGUCACACACACAAACCCUAGCGUGGGGGGAAUGUCGGUUGGAGGCGCGGUCGACAACGUCGUGAUAGGGCCCAAGGCGGCGGGAGGGGGGCACCACGGUUACUGGUUCGUGCCGCUACGGCUGGAGGAGGGGAUGACAUGACUAGAAUUGUGCGGCGCGGUGGGGGAAGGGGNGGGGGCAGGGGAGGCGGGCGAGAGUCGUUGAGUCCCAACUCCCCGUACGAGAGAGUUCCUCACGCCCAAACCUCAAGCCCCGAACCUUCUCCUGAAAACUUGUCGAAUAUUGACUGGAAUUUUCCAUGGAUGUUAACUCUCAAGACGACAACCAUCGCUAAUGGGAUACAUGGGCUCACAGAAAAGUUCAAUGAGAAAACUACCGUCAAGAAAAUCCUUCAAGUUGUUCGGUCAAAGUCUCCCAAAUUGCACCUGCUAUAGAGCAGUUUGGCAAUUUCAAAAUGAUGACAAUGAAGGAAGUCAUGAGGAGGUUGAAGGUUCAUGAGGCACGACUGCGUGGCUAUGUCCAUGACGACCAAGAUGACAAACAAUUUUUGUUGACAUAUCAAAGCCAAGAGAUCUUGAGUUCAAGAUCCGGGUGGCACAAUUAAAUCAUAGCUCACUUUUGGUCCAUAUUAGACGAGAUGGGGAGUGCUGGCGUAUAAAUGCAUAACACACCAUUUCCAUUAGCUUGAGUUUCUGGGUGAACUGACUAGUGUGCAGUUGUAUAGUGACACACCAUCCGUGUAGCACACACCAUGUCGCAACCGUUCUCCAUCUCGUCUCUCAUACUCGAACCCUAGCAUGAGGGCGACGACAACUCGAGGCGUAGGCGAAGGCGGCGCCCAAGGCGGGGCCAUGGCUGCUAAAAUUCCAUGGAGUCAUUGAGUUGCUCACGUGUGAACCUCAUGCCCCCAACCCUUUUACUCAAAAUUUGGUGAAUGUUGACUAAAGUUUUCCAUCGAUGUUAACUAGAAUAGCCUUUAACCCGUGUUGUUUUUUCAUGAAAUUUGUAGGCUCGAGCCAACGAAUGUUUUUAGCUUAGACCUAGUUCCUCAAGGGUUUCUACCAAAGGAACUGAAUGGUAGGAAAUCAUAUGUGAAGGUGAAAACAAUUAGAUGGAACAUAGACUCAAAGGACUUCAUAAUGGACUAGAAGGGUUGGACACGCUUUGAUGCAUUGUUGAAGUUGUUGUAUUUUUAAAAAUUACCCACUUUGUUUUCAAAUAUAACAUGUAUUACUUUUUGAAAAUCCAGACAUUUUAAGUUUGAUCAAACAUGAUAUCAAAUAUCAAAUCUAUAUGAUUAGAUUCAUCAUGAAAUGAAUUUACAUACUUCUUGUCUAAUAUUGUGGAUGUCAAUAUAUAUUUCUCUCACUUUGGUCAAAAUUAAAAUUUGACUUCAAAAAAAUAAUACCACUUAUAAUUUGGAACUGAUGGAAUAUUUAGUUUAAUGGAUUGGGGAUAUGAUGCAAUGUGUUUUAUUUUUAUUUAUUAAAUCAGGUGAUUUGAUGGAAUUUACUUGGUGUGGUUUUGUGUUAUCCGCUAACCAACAUAUAUUUAUAUGGGAAAGUUUAUGCAUCGAUGGUUGGAUGUACUAUAUUGAUGCUACAAUAUUACAUGGUGGCGCUUCAUUUUUCUAGGUGAUGGGAGGAUGCGCGGGAUUGAUGUAUUUUUAUAGACUGGUUGUUGCCAAUUGAUUUGGAGAAUCGUUGCACCAAUCAAAAUCGUAAACCAAACUCAAUUAAAUAUCUCAAUUGAACGAAAUAACUUCAAAACUGGAGAACAUAAUGAAUUAAAAGAAUAGAAUGGGAGAGCUCCUUGAGAAAAUGUUGACUUGGUCAAAAUCGGAUGACGUGGUUCUAAAUUAAAUACCUCAAUUAAUUAUGAGACCUUAAAAUUUAGGAAGCAUAAUGUAUAUUAAAAAAGAAUUUAAUGAUAAAGCUUCAAGUUGAUGACCCAGACGAAAUCGGGUGAUUCAAUUUCAAUUGAAGACCUUAAUUAAAUGUAGGUUCUUAAAAACAAGGAAGUAUAGUGUUAAAGGAUGUACUCAUGGAUAUGCUCUUGGUGCCUGGCUAUUUAUACAAACCCCGAAGAGAGCACUUCCAAGUAUGUGAGAAGUGAAAUGGAUUCUAACUAGAAUACAAAGUUGCUAAGGGCAUCUCCAAGGCUGACCCCAAAACGGACUGGUAUCCUGCUGCGGGUGCGUAACUGAUACAGAAGACGACCAUCCAACCAUGUCAACAUAUAUUUUAAACCAAAUUUAAUAACCGAAAGAAGUACAUGCAAAGGGAUGAUUUUCGUCUAAACCUGAUGAAUUUUUGACAUAUUUCAACUCAACUAUAACGGAUUACGCUAUCCUAAGCUUGUCUAAAUGAUCGCUGGUUGUGGUGGCGCGUGUUUCCCACAAAAGGUCUUCCACAUGUGUGGCAGCAAGCUCAUCCGACGAGGCGAGGCCUGGUGAUAGGACAUGUAUGUUGCCUAGAAUGGGGGGGGGGGUGAAUAGACACUUUAAAAUAAUUUCGGUUUAGGUUCAAACAAAAGCGGAAUAAAACUAGCGUUCAAUUUCUCAAGUAGAAAACCUAAAUCAACUAUGCUUACCUAUGUGCACCAACAACUUAUACUAACCAAGAUAAAAAAACUAAGUGAUAGCAAGAUAUAUAACAUGAAACAUUAUGGUGGCUAUCACAAAGCAAGUGCAUAAGUAAAGGGCGGGUAAGAGAUAACCAAGGAACACGGAGAGGGCGAUGUAUUUGGAAGUUCACACCUUUGUGGAUGCUAAUCUCCGCUUGGAGCGGUGUGGAGACACAAUGCUCCCCAAAUUGCCACUAGGGCCACUGUAAUCUCCUCAUGUCCUCGCAGAAUGCAAGAUGUUGUGAUUCCACUAAGGGACCCUUGAGGACACUCACCAAAGCCGUACAAAUGGCGACCCUUUGGGGCAGUCAGCGAAAUCGUACAAUUGGAAACCCUUGGGGGCGGUCACCGAAACCCCGUAUAGAUUGCCCGUGGCAAUCUUCACAACUAAAUUGGAGACCCACCAAUGUAGAAAAUCCUAUCCAUGGUGUGGCAAAAAUGACCUUGCUGGCGUGGACACCCGACGCCACCAAUAUGGCCCUAGUAUUAGAAAAUAAUGGUGGCGUUGGAACCGACGCCAAAAGUAUAUUACAUGUUGCUGACGUCCACGUGGCCAAUGCCAGCUAUACAUAUAUAAUACCUUUGUCAUUUGUUGUUGUCCAACGCCAGCAAUUUCUUUUGGAUAAUAAAAAACACUACUUGAGAAACUAAGAGUUUAAACUUCACAAAAUGUACUAAUCAACUAAGUAUACUCAUAAACUUAAUAAGAGUUUAAAACUUAGUACUGAUCAAUAAAACAUACUCAUAAACUUCAGAGUUUAAAACUUCACAAAAGGUACUGAAAUAAUUAAACUACUCUUCAUCAAGGAUUAUCCUGAGCUGGCGAAUCUUCUUUCGAUUGCUCUCUCUAUAAUUUUGGAAGUGAGUGACUUCUAUGUUUAGCUUAGUCCUACCAGUCCUCAGUAGUUUUCUCUCCUCCAUGAAGUCAUCCCUCUCCUCCAUCAAGUCAUCCCUCUCCUCCCUUAGUUUGUUUGACAUGUCGAGAGCAUGAACACCCUUUUGUGAGCGGACUAUCCCGUUCAUUCUUCACACAGAUAUUUUGUUCUUCCAGUUUUUUAUUUUCUAGUGUGAUUCCUCUAGGAGACACUUAUUCCACUUGUUCACAUCGUACACCGAUUCGUUGUUGCUUGAAGAGUUGUCCACAUGUCCUGUUUCAAAUUAUGUACACAAGAAAAUUAAAACUUGUAGUAGCAAUAUAAAUCAACUACUACCUAAACAUUGCAAGAUUGAGACAUAUGUUUCAAAUCCAUCUAAUAUAAAGCAAUCAAAACAUAAAUACUACACAAAACAUAAACAUUGAGAACAUAGGUUCUCAAAUUCAUCUAAUAUAAAGCACUCAAAACAUAUCUAGUACUUGUAUGGAAUUAUCUAGUACUAAGAUCCCGACAAAACAUAAUCACUGAAAACAUAUGUUCCCAAAUCCAUCUAAUAUAAAUUUGUACUAAUAGCAUUCUACACUAAUCGGAUUCUAUACUAAUAAAUUAAUUUCUACUAGUCACAUUCUACACCAAUCAGAUUCUAUACUAAUCAGACUCUACACUAAUAUAUACCUACACUAAUAGGAUUCUACACAAAACAUAUAUGUACACAUUUUUAGGGUUGGGAUCCGCCACGAGAUUGAAGGAGAAGCUCGGGGAGGGGAAGAAGAUGCGGAGGGGAGUGGUAGAUCUCACCUGCUGCCCCGGAGGUAUCGAUGGCCGCAAUGGUCUGGCGGCGGCGACACACGAUGGGGUCAGGAGGUGGCGAUGACGGUAGCGGGCGAGAGAAAGGGGGAUGAGGAGAGAGGAAGGAGAAUAAGGUGAGUGAGUGAAAUUUGACCAAAUUUUUUUUUGACUGGGUACGGGAGGGCUGUUAAAAUGGACUAGUGCUCGCAUGGGCUAAUGGGCCAUGGCAACACAAUCUGUAUCGGAAAAAGAAAAAAAAUAUGCAAUUACCUAUGUGGUGAGAUAUAACCACAGCCAAUGCUAUUUGAAAAAUAUAGUGUUGGCGUCACUUAGAAACGGUGCGGCACAACCAUAAGUUGUGGCUAGCCAUUUCUCCACUAGUGACCCCAACGCUUGCCCAGAGAUUUACACCAUAAUGAUUGAGCUCCAAGACACCACCAACCUUCUAGUGCACUAAAGCACCCAAGAGGCAAAAGCUCCCGGGUUCCCAUAUACCGAAGAGUAAUAAGCUUCUCCACUUUUUAGUUGCACAUAUCACCAUGAAGAACUCAGACCUAUGCAACUAAUGCAAUGGCACUAACAGACGAAGUGGUAAAUUCCAUCACUACCGAAUCAGACCACAAAAACAAAAGCUAUGGAGGAAUAUGAGAGGAAGAACAAGGAGAACACAAAGAACUACAAGACCUAGAUCCAAGGGGUUCGCCUCAUAUAGAGGAGAAAGUGAUUGAUGGAAAUGUGGGCCUAGAUGUCCUCUAUAUUUUCCCUUAAGAAGGAGCAAUAAUCAUUGGAGGGUUGAGAGAUAGCAAGCUCAAAGAAGGUCAACAAUGGGGGAAAACAUGAGCUCAAAGGAUAAUAACCAUUGGGGAGGAAGACCCCCUUAUAUAGGUGGGGACAAAUCCAACCGUUAUGCCUCAGUUUGCAGUAAAGCGGUACUACGGCUCCUAGGAGUGGUACUGCCACUUAAUGCGGUUGUUUCAGGUGUAGUAGAGUGAGCAUGUGAAGUGCGGGAACGGUACUCCUGUCGGAGCUGUACUUCCGUCCCCCAUCAGCGGUACUAGUGCUUAUGUGACCCAGUAUAGAGAAAUAAAGGUAUUGAGAGGUGCCGAAGCAGCACUACCAGUUAACUAUCGCUUUGUACUGUGAAAGCCGCGAAGGGCAACACAAGCCUCAAAUAAGGAGUAGUAGCACCGGUACUAGAAUGUGGUAGUACCGCGUGGGCAGUACUAAUACUUGUGAUCUGCAUUGGGUUUUUCCCAAAGGGGAAGGGAUGAUGCAGCACAUUAUAGAUAAGUAUUUCCCUCAGUGAGAACCAAGGUUAUCGAACCAAUAGGAGAACCGCACAAUUUCCCGUCUUCAGUGCCUUCAAACAAAAGGUCAUACACUUGCACCCAACACGGGAAAGCGGGUUGUCAAUCCCCUUGAACUUGUUAUUUCCAACACGGGAGGGGACGAGGAGGCCGACUCCCUAGGAGGUCUCCUAGGGUCAGGCGACGACCACCAAGAGGUGCCUUGGCCCUCAAGGAAGGAGGGGCGGCGGCCACCUCUGGGCCUGCCCAGCCCCUUGGCCGCAUGGGCCUUAGGUGGAAGGGGCGGCCAGCCCACGAGGGGCUAGUGCACCAUCUCUCACAGCCCAUGGGGCCCUCCUGGGCAGGUGGACCCUCCCGGUGGACCCCGAUAACACCUUUUGGAACCUCCUUCACAAAACCAGUAACUUUCAAAACUCUUUAGGAACUCGAAUACGAACUACCUAUAUAUCAAUCUAUAACUCUGAACCAUUCUGAAGCUCCUCGUCAUGUCCGGGAUCUCAUCUGGAACUCCAAACAACUUUCGGUAAGUAACACAAUAACUCAACUAUAUCUAUAUGAUCAUUGAAUGCUAAGCGCGUGGACCCUACAGGUUUCAGAACUAUGUAGACAUGACUGAUACACCUCUAUGGUCAAUAACCAAUAGCGGGAUCUGGAUUCCCAUAUUGCUUCCUACAUGUUCUACUAAGAUCUAUAUCAUUCGAACCACGAUGUCAAGGAUUCAGCUAAUCAUGUCCAUCGGUAUGUUACUUUCUCGAGAUUCAAUCAUCGCUAUCUCCAUACCUAGUUCAAUCUCGUUAUCGGCGAGUCUCUUUACUCGUUCUAUAAUACAAGAUCCCGUGACUAACUCCUUAGUCUCUCCCUCAUACGGGGUGACAAAUCCCAGUCUUGAUCCAUGCCAACUCAAAAGACACACUCAGAGAUACCUGUAGUGCAUCUUUAUAAUCACCCAGUUACGUUGUGAGGUUUUAUACACACAAGGCAUUCCUCAGUGUCAGGGUGUUGCAUGAUCAAAGGAACAGAUACAUUGACAUGGAAAAAGGAAGAGCAGUAAACUUGAUACGAUCAAAUGCUAUUCUUACGGUUUGGGUCUUGUCCAUCACAUCUCCUAAUGAUGCGAUCCCGUUAUCAAAUAACAAGUCAUGUCUUUGGCUAGGAAACCUUAACCAUCUUUGAUCAAUGAGCUAAUCUAGUAGAGGCUUACCAGGGACACUUUGUUGUCUAUGUAUCCACACAUGUAUUUGAGUUUCCAAUCAAUACAAUCAUAGCAUGGAUAAUAAACGAUUAUCACAAAAAAGGAAAUAUAAUAAUAUCAACUUUAUAAUUGCCUCUAGGGCAUAUUUCCAACAGUCUCCCACUUGCACUAGAGUGAAUAAUAUAGUUUUACAUGUUAAUGAAUCUAACACCAAUAGAGUUCUAGCGCUGAUCAUGUUUUGCUCACUGAAGAGGUUUAGUCAACAGAUCUACUACAUUAAGAUCUGCAUGUAUAUUGCAAAUGUUUAUGUCGUCCUCCUUGAUAUAAUCUACGAUGGAAUUGAAACGACGCUUUAUGUGUCUGGUAAUUUUGUGAAAGCUAGGUUCCUUGGCUAGAGCAAUGGCACGAGUGUUGUCACAAAAUAGGGUCAUUGCAUCUAGUGCAGUCGGCACAACUCCAAGAUCCGUCAUGAACUGCUUUAUCCACAUAGCUUCCUUCACUGCUUUCGAAGCAACUAUAUAAUCCACUUCACAUGUAGAAUAAGCUACCAUGCUUUGCUUGGAACUGCACCAGCUUACAGCUGCAUCAUUCAGAAUAAUACAUAUCUGGAUUGAGACUUAGAGUCAUCCGGAUCAGUGCCAAAGCUAGCAUCAAUGUAACCCUUUACGACGAGCUCUUGAUCACCUCUAUAAACGAGAAACAUUUCCUUAGUCCUUUUGAGGUACUUAAGGAUAUUCUUGACCGCUGUCCAGUGUUCCACUCCUGGAUCACUUUGAAACCUUCUAGCCAUACUUAUGGCAAGGCUGACAUCUGGUCUUGUGCACAACAUCGCAUACAUGAUAGAGCCUAUGGCCGAGGCAUAUGGGAUGACACUCAUAUUCUCUCUAUCCUCUGUAGUCGUUGGGCAUUGAGUCUUUACUCAACUUCACACCUUGCAGGACAGGCAAGAACCCCUUCUUGGACUGAUACUUUUUGAACUUCUUCAAAACCAUAUAAGCCUAUGUGCUUUGUGCCUCGAGCUAUCAUUGAUGCCCAAUAUGUAAGCAACUUCUCCCAGAUCUUUCAUUGAAAAACUCUUGUUCAAAUAUAUCUUCAUGCUUUCCAAAAGUUCUAUAUUAUUUCCAAUUAGCAAUAUGUCAUCCACAUAUAAUAUCAAAAACACUAGAGAGCUCCCAAUCACUUUCUUGCAAAUACAAGCUUCUCCAUAAACUUGUAUAAACCAAACGCUUUGACCACCUCAUCGAAGCGAAGAUUCCAACUCCGAGAUGCUUGCACCAGUACAUAAAUGGACCGCUAGAGCUUGCAUACUUUGUCAGCAUUCUGUGGAUCGACAAAACCUUUCGGUUGCACAUAUACAACUCUUCCUUAAGGAAACCAUUAAGGAACACUAUUUUGACAUGCUUCUACGAGAUUUCAUUAUCGAAAAAUCCAGUUGUUGCUAAUAUGAUUCUGUCAGACUAAAGCAUCGCUACGGGUGAGCAAGUAUCAUCGUAGUCAACUCCUUGAACUUGUGAAAACCCCUUUGCAACAAUUCGAGCUUUAUAGACGGUGACAUUACCGUGUGUGUGUGUCAUCCUCUUAAAGAUCCAUUUGUUCUGAAUAGACUUUUGACCCUCAGGUAAUACUUCCAAAGUCCACACUUAAUUUUCAUACAUGGAUCCUAUCUCUAAUUUCAUGGCCUCUAGCCAUUUGUUGGAAUACGGGAACACCAUCGCUUCUCCAUAGCUCGUAGGUUCAUUGGUGUCCAACAACAUGACCUUCAAGACAGGAAUACAGUACCACUCAGGAGUAGUACGUGUCCUUGUCGACCUACGACGUUCGGUAGUAACUUGAUCUGAAGCUUCAUGAUCACCAUCACAAGCUUCCUCUUCAACUCGUGUAGUUGCCACAGGAACAUCGCCCCGCGCCCUGCUGCUCUUUGGUUGAAGUGACGGUUUUCGUCAUCUUGCCCAUGAGGCAUGGUUCACGUGUAUCAAGUGACUCUAAAAGUCCAUCAACAUGGAGCUUAUUCAUCGAUUUUACACCAAUAUGACCUAAGUGCCAGUGCCACAAUAAAGUGGUGCUAUCAUUAUUAACUCUGCAUCUUUUGGCAUCAAUGUUAUAGAUAUGUGUAUCAUCACUAUAUAGAUUCAACAAGAAUAAACCAUUCACAUUGGGUACAUGACCAUAAAACAUAUUACUCAUAUAAACAAAACAACCAUUAUUCACUAAUUUAAAUGAGUAACCGUCUCACAUUAAACGAGAUCCACAUAUAAUGUUCAUGCUCAACGCAGGCACCAAAUAACAAUUAUUUAGGUUCAUAACUAAUCCCAAUGGUAAUCGCAGAGCGAGCAUGCUGACGACGCUCACAUCAACCUUGGAACCAUUUCCCACACGCAUCGUCACUUCAUCCUUUGCCAGCCUCCACUUAUUCUGUAGUUCCUUCUUCGAUUUACAAAUAUGAGCAACCGAUCCGGUAUCAAAUACCCAAACAUACAACGAGAGCUAGUAAUGUACACAUCAAUAACAUGUAUAUCAAAUAUACCUUUGUUGACUUUGCGAGCCUUCUUAUCGGCCAGAUACUUGGGGCAAUUUCGCUUCCUGUGGCCAGUUCCCUUGCAAUAGAAGUACCCAGGCUUAGGCUUGGAUCCAGCCUUGGGUUUCUUCACGGGAGUGGCAACUGCUUUGUCGUUCUUCUUGAGGUUUUCCCUCUUUCUCUUGCCCUUCUUCAAACUAGUGGUUCUAUUCACCAUCAGCACUUGAUUCUCCUUCUUGAUUUCUACUUGCGUGACUUUCAGCAUCACGAAUGGCUCAGAGAUGGACUUGUUCAUCCCUUGCAUAUUAUAGUUCACCAUGAAGCUCUUGUAGCUAGGAUGCUGUGAUUGAAGAACUCUAUCAGUGUCCGUCUCUCGCGGAAUAUCAACUCCCACCUGAGUCAAACGGUUGUAGUACCCAAACAUUGCGAGUAUGUGCCCACUGAUAGAAUUGUUCUCCUCCAUCUUGCAGCAAAUAAUUUAUCGAGGUGUCAUACCUCUCGAUUCAGGCAUUUGCUUGAAAAACAAAGUUCAACUCAUGGAACAUCUCAUAUGCUCCAUGGCGUUCAAUAUGCCUUUGAUGUCCUAAUUCUAAGUCGUACAACAUGGCACACUGAACUAUCGAGUAGUCAUCAGCACACACCUUCCAGACGUUCACAACAUCCACAUGGGACCCUACAGGGGGUGGUGCACCAAGCAGCGCAUCAAUGAUAUAAGCCUUUUGCGAAGCCGCGAGGAUAAUCCUUAGAUUACGGACUCAGCCGCAAAUUUACUUCCAUCAUCUUUCAAGUUAGCUUUCUCUAGGAACACAUUUAAAUUCAGGGGAGCUACUGCGUGAGUGAUUGAUCUACAACAUAAUUUUGCAACGACAACUUAGACUAUGUUCAUGAUAAUGAGUUCAGUUAAUUAUAUUACUUAGGAACUCCCACUCAAAUCAACAUCCCUCAGGUUGUCCGAGUGUAACAUGAUCCAAAUCCACCAACCCAAGUCCAAUCAUCAUGUGAGAUGCGGUGGUUUCAAUGGUGAACAUUUCCAUGUUGAUCAUGUCUAGUAUAUGACUCAUGUUCGACCGUUUGGUAGCUUUUGUUUGUAGGCCAUGUUUGUACAUGUUAGGCUCGUCAAGUUUAGCCCAAGUGUUCUACAUGUGCAAAACUAGCUUACACGCAUUGUAUGCGAAUGUAGUGUCUAUCACACCUGAUCAUCACAAUGUGCUUCAAAAUGAUGAACCUUCGCAAUGGUGGACACUUCGGGAGAACACAAUUUUAUCUUGAAAUUUUAGUGAGGGAUCAUGUUAUAAUGCUACCAUCGUCCUAAGCAAAAUAAGAUGCAUAAAAGUAUUAACAUCACAUGAAAAUCAUAUAAGUGACAUGAUAUGGCCAUCAUCAUCUUGUGGUCUUGAUCUCCAUCUCCAAAGCAUCGGCAUGAUCUCCAUCGCCACAUGCACGACACCAUGAUCUCCAUCAUCGUGUCGUCAUUGGGCUUGUCGCGCCAACUAUGCUUCCACAACUAUUGCUAACUCAUAGCGAUAAAGUAAAGCAAAAAGUCACAAAUAAAUCAAAGACAAUCCUAUGGCUCCUGACGGUUGUCGUACUCAUUGACAUGCAAGUCAUGAUAAUUGUAUACAAAACAGGAUCAUCUCAUACAUCACAUAUACCGCAUCAUGUCUUUGGCAAUAUCACAUCACAAUAUGCCCUACAAAAACAAGUUAGACUUCCAAUACUUUGUUUUUGCAAGUUUUACAUGAUUGCUAUGGGAAACUAUCAAGAACCCUUCUUACCUAGGUGAUAUUCAAGUUGCUAUUUAACCUUCCACAAGGACCGUCUCUGCCAAAUCCGAUUCAACUAAAUUGGGAGAGACAGACACUCGCCAACCAUGUUUAUGCAACUAAGUUACAUGCCAGCCGAUGGAACUGGUCUCUUGUACGUGGACAAGUAAGGUUGGUCCAGGCCGUUUCAUCCCACAAUAUUGCCGAAUGAACAUAAGACUAAGGAAUUAAGCAAUUUGAACAUCAACGCCCCAAAACACUUUAUGUUCUACUUGUACAUAUCAUCUACGCAUAGACCUAGCUCAUGAUGCCACUGUUGGGGAACGUUGCAUGGGAAUCAUAAAUUUUCCUACGACCACCCAUGAUCAAUCUAUGGAGAUCAAAUCUAUGAGAGUGGAAGUGCAUCUACAUACCCUUGUAGAUCGCUAAGCGGAAGCGUUAAGAAACACUGUUGAUGUAGUUGAACGUCUUCGUGAUCCAAUCACGUCCCAAUCAAGUGCCGAACGGAUGCCACCUCUCCGGUCAGCACAUGUACAACUCGAUGAUGCCUUCACCACCUCGAACUAGCGAGCGAAGGUGAAGUAGUAGUUUGAGUUCUCCAACGGCACGACAGUGUGGUGGUGGUGAUGGAGCUGUCGCGGCAGGGCUUCGCCAGGUGCUACCGCAACAGGAACAAGGGAGAAGUACUACCAGAGAGAGGGGGCUACUCCAUGGCUCUUGGGUGCGACUGCCCUCCCUCUCCUGUAGUAUAUAUAGGGGGGAGGAGGACGCUGGGACCUAGGGUUUCCCAUAGGGUGGGGCGGCGGCCACCAAGAGGUGCCUUGGCCCUCAAGGAAGAAGGAGCGACAACCACCUCUCGGCCAGCCCAUCACCUUGGCCUCAUGGGCCUUAGGUGGGAGUGGCGUCCAGCCCACUAGGGGAUGGUGCAACCCCUCUCAUAGUCCAUCGGGCCCUCUUUGGCAGUGGACCCUCCUGGUGGAUCCCCGGAACACUUUCCAAAACCUCCGCACAAAAUUGCUAACUUCCGAAACUCUUCCGGAACUCGAAUACCAACUUCCCAUAUAUCAAUAUUUACCUCGAGACCAUUUCAAAGCCUCUCUUCAUGUCCGGGAUCACAUCUGGGACUCUGAACAACCUUCGUAAACCAACACAAUAACUCAACUAUAUCUAUAUCGUCAUCAAUGUUAAGCGUGCGGACCCUGUGGGUUCGAGAACUAUGCAGACAUUACCGAGAUAGCUCUAUGAUCAAUAAACAAUAGAGGGAACUCAAUGACAUAUUGGUUCAUACGUAUUCUACAAAGCUCUAUAUUGGUCGAACCAUGAUGUCGAGGAUUCAACCAAUUUCGUUUCAGUUUCCUUUAUCCAUCGGUAUGUUACUUGCCCGAGAUUUGAUCGUCGGUAUCUCCAUACCUAGUUCAAUCUCAUUAGCGACAAGUCUCUUUAGUCGUUACAUAAUACAAGAUCCCAUGACUAACUCCUUAGUCACAUUGCUGGCAAGCUUCUUGUGAUGCUGUAUUACCGAAUGGGCCCAGAGAUACCUCUCCGUCAUACGGAGUGAAAAAUCCUAGUCUCAAUCCAUGCCAACUCAAUAGACACAUUCGAACAUACCUGUAGAGCAUCUUUAUAAUCACCCAAUUAGGUUGUUAUGUUUUAUGCACACAAGGAAUUCCUCCGGUGUCAUGUAGUUGGAUGAUCUCAUGGUUAUAGGAACAGAUACAUUGACAUGCAGAAAGCAAUAGCAGUAAACUUGAUAUGAUCAAAUGCUAUGCUUAUGGUUUGGGUCUAGUCCAUCAAAUCAUUCUCCUAAUGAUGUGAUCCCGUUAUCAAAUGCCAAAUCAUGUCUAUGGCUAAGAAAUCUUAACCUUCUUUGUUCAACGACCUAGUCUAGUAUAUGCUUACCACGGACACUUUGUUGUCUAUGUAUUCACACAUGUAUUUGAGAUUCCAAUCAAUACAAUUAUAGCAUGGAUAAUAAACGAUUACCAUAAACAAGGAAAUAUAAUAAUAACCACUUUAUUAUUUCCUUUAGGGCAUAUUUCCAACAAUCCAGUGGUGAGCAUCAUGGAAUUGUUGAUGGAAAAGGGUUGAUGAUGAUAAUAGUGACAAAUCCCCCUGUGUGGAGCCCCAAACGGACUCGAUAUCAGCCCUCCCGAGAAAGAAGGGGAGGUGGCGGCGGCUCCAUCUUGUAAAACAUGAUGAAAUCUUCUAUCUAAUUUUUUCUAUGAAGAUGUCAAUUUAUAGUACUAGAAUUAGGGUCGGAGGAGUCACGUGGGCCCCACAAGCCAUCAAGGAGCGCCUAGGGGGGUGGGCGCGCCCUGUUGCCUUGUGGACCAUAGACAGCCAUCCUCUGGUGGUUCAUCACUCCAUAAUUCAUUGUAGAUUCCAGAAAUAAAUCACAAAAACAUUCAUACAAUUCCAAGGACUUUUAUUAUCUGCACAAAAAUAACACCAUGGUAUUUCUGCUGAAAACAACGUUAGUACGGGUUAGUUCCAUUCAAAUCAUGCAAAUUAGAGUCCAAAACGAGAGCGGAAGUGUUUGGAAAAGUAGAUAAGUUGGAUAUAUAUCAACUCCCCCAAGCUUAAAUAAUUUCUUGUCCUCAAGAAAUUUAGUUGAUAAACUUAAAGUGAUAAAGAAAACUUCUACAAACUCUUUUGUUCUCGAUGCCAUAUAAAUGCUUAGCUAAUGUUCAGGUUUUUAGCAUAAAUCAUAACUAAUCAUAUCCAUGAUAAUAAUUAAGCAUCAUAUUCAAUCAUGGAAAUACAUAACCAACUAGCAAGCAAUAAUAAUAUAUCUCACAUGCCAACAAUUUUUGAAAACAAUCAUGAUAUAAUAUGGUGACAUGGUAUCUCGCUAGCCCUUUCCGAGACCACAAAACAUGAAUGUAGAGCACCUGUGAGGUUGAAGCAACGACUAAGGUUGAAAAAUGACUAAACAUUAUAAUUUAGGGUAGAAAGGAUCCACUUCAUGCUCACAUCCAACAUUAACUAGACUCAAUGCAUAAGAAUGACAAUAGUGCACUCUGGUCUGGUGCUUUUAGGAAGAGAGUGAUGACUCAACAUACAAGUAAAUAUAUAGGCCAUUCGCAAAGAGAAGCAUUGAUUUGUAGAUGUUCUAGAGCUCAAGUUUUAAAACGGGAUUGAGUAUACAGUUUUUGAGUGGUGUUCUUUGCUGUCAACAUUAUGACAAAGGUUUUCACUAUCUUCCAUGCUAAACUCAUUAUUGGUGGUUCCCAAACAGAAUUGUAAAGUUUAGUCCUAUCCACCAUCCAUUCACAAACCUUGGCUUGUCGAAUUCACGGGUGCCCUCCAACAUAUCAACAUGUCCCAAGGAGUUUGGUUUAUUUUAAUUUUGAUUAUGCAGGAGUUGGCAUCCUUUUUACCAACCUCUCCCAUGCAAUGAUGGCGAAUAAACAACCGCCCUGAGAAUAGCUUACUUAGCAUAGACGAUACCGACCGCCCCGUCGCUGCAUGAGCGAUACGAGUGCACAAAAUAAAUGUUUGUUUGAAUAUUUAGAGGUGGCACAUGCAAAUUUACUUGGAACGGCAGGGUAAUACCGCAUAUAGGUAGGUAUGGUGGACUCAUGUGGAAUAUCUUGGUUUCAUGAUUUUGGAUGCACAAGUAGCAUUCCCGCUUAGUACAGGUAAAGGCUAGCAAAAGAAUGGAAAGCAACCAUUUAGAGAAACAAAAUGGUCAUAAACAUGUAUUGAGAAUAAUUAACAUUAAACAUUAGCAUGGGUAGGAUAUGAAUAGUAUACAUUUAACUAUCAUGAAGGCUGCAUUCGUUUUGAAUCAACUACAUGUUUGCACAUGGGCCAAGUCAAGCCGCUCGAAUCACUCAAAGGGAAAUACCGUACUUCCAUACCACAUCAUAACCAUUUUAAUGCAUGUUGACACACAAGAUAAAUCAUUAUCCACUCCUAGCUAUUUAAUCAUGGCAUGAUAAAUUAUAAUCUCUAAUUAUCAUCAUAAAAAUGUUCACUCAUGAUAUACCGAAUCAAGAUCAAACGAGCUAAACAUAUUCACAAAAAUGGAAAACAAGAAGAGUUCAUACCCGUUUCUGUUGCCACUAUCACUUCGUAAAAUAGCAUCAUUAUUGCCUUCCACUUGCAUGACCGAAUGAUGUGAUAAUAAUAACAAUGCAGGUGCGUCAUGGACUAAGCUGAAAUCUGCAAGGUAUUUGUGCAAAGGAGAAGACAUGGUAAUAUUGGCUCUUUGUUAGAACGAUAAUAAAGCAUAUGAGAGCCACACAACAUUCUCAUCGUGGUCUUAUGCUUUCAACGACUCAAAGAAAAGAAAAAAAUUCAAAGAAACACACUCAAAUAUUUUUGGAGUUUUCGCUUGAAGAAAGCAAAAAAUCGAAGGAAAAAGAAAAAUGAGAAAAACUAUUUACACGAAAGCUUCCAACAAGUAAAGGAAAUAUUUUUGUGUUUUAUUUUAAUAUUAAAACUAAUUAAAUUUGAAAUAAAAACCAAAAAUAAGCGAGAAAUAUUUUUGGCUUUUCUAAGAUUUUCAAACACACAAGAGGAAAGCGGGAAAAUAAAACUAACAUGGAUUUACAAUGAAAAAGGAUGAACACCGAUAAUUUAUAUGAAGUGUGUGAACAUGAAUGUAAUGUACGUCACAAAUAUGUACCCCCAAGCUUAGGCGUUUGCCUACCUUGGUGACCACCAUCGCUGGUCUAGAUAGUAGUCGAAGUGGUAGGUUGGGGAAUUGUUGUGUGCGGCCUCCUGUGCCAAGUGAGCUACUUCCAUUGCAGCGUUGUGCUCUUGCACCUCACUCUCAAGAACAUAGUAUCUCCAUUUAUUCGGGAAAAAAGAGCAGGCGUAGGCAAAGUACCUGAAAUAGGAUUAUAUGUAUUAAAUAUUAAUUUAUACUCACAUCCUCUGGCACUAUGCGUAAUUAGGUCAUGACGGCGCAUGGCUUCAAAGUUGAAAUAUCUCUCACGUAGCAUAGGGUCAUUAGGUUGGGGUGAAAUGUUCAGACUUGUGGCUACACGGGCAACAUUAAUACCACAAUAUAGGUCACCACUAUUUGCGUUAGAUUGCAACCUACUAGCAACAAUGGCACCGAGGUUAUAAUGUCUCUCGCCAGUCACCGCUAUAUGAAUAAGGCUCAAAUCGGGACCGCACAAUCCACUAUUAUCGUGCUUACCCACUACACAUUUUCCAUUAAACAGUGCAAAGUAGCGAAUAGAGGGAAAUUGAAUAUUUUUUAUUCUAGCUUGUGUCACCCCUCUAUCUUCUCCAACGCAAAGAGUCUCCAGGAACAAAUUAUAAUCAGAUUUUCACGGUUUUUCUAGCGAGCCCCAAUAGGGGUGUUUGCAUGCCUCGCAAAAUUCCUUUGAAGAUAGACUAUUUUUUGAAUCAUAGAGAUUAAACAACACUCUAGAACUAUGAUGAUGGUAUCGAAAUCCAUGCGUGAAUGUACGAGUAAGAUUAUAGUGUUCGAUACACUUAUCCACGAGGAAGUCAGCGAGGCCGGUAUUCUAAAUGUGCUAAUUGAAUUCCUCCUUAAUGCAUGCACCGCUCAUCAACGCAUCGCAUGGCCAAUGACAUGAUUUAGCAUCUGACAUGACUGUCCGUCUAACUCUGGAAUCCACAUAAGCUUGUCGUACCGAUCCCUCGCCCAAUGACUCACCCAAAGAACGCCUCCUUGAGGAACUACUCAUGAAGAAGUUCAUAUUCUGACACACAAAUUUCAGGAAUUUUUGUACCACAAAACUAUGUGAGUAAAACUUUGCAAGAUUGAUAGCAACUACUCGUAUGGAUGCCCAGAGGACAUAUCAAGCAUUAACGCUACAUGGAACUCAAAGAAUUAAAAUGCAAGCUCAUUUUUAGUAGCACCAAGUGCAGCAAAAUAUUCAAAAUAUAAAUGACUAAAUAAAAAACUAAUUGGAUGAAUGGGGGAGUCACAUACCAAGGAGUAAUUCCUCAAAACAAUUUCGGAAACGGAGUUCCCAGCAAAGGGAUCAAAAAUUCUAGUUUCUAGAGGAAGAACUAGAGAGAGAGAGAGAUCUAGAGAUUUUUUUCUGGAGGUAGGUGAUGAAGUGAGUUGAAGGGAUAAGGCGGGGGCCCCCGUGGGCCCCACAAGCAAUUAGGGCGUGCCGAGGAGGGUGUGCAUGGACUGUUGGCUUGUGGCCCACAGGGGUACCUCGCUGUUGUAAUUUUUGCACGAGAAUUUCUUAAAUAAUCCAGAAAAAUUCAUGUUAAAACUCUAUGGCAUUCUAAGACUUUUUAUUUUUGGGUCAUUUUUCUAUUGCACGAAAACUAAGGAAACAGGAAAAUCAUCGAAUUUGAUUUUGCUUAACUAAGAAUAACAGAGGGUAAACUUGUGAUAUAGAGAGUUAUGAAUGCUCAAUUCAUCAAUCACAUGUCUUUCAAAAAGGAUCUAUUAAUAAGGUUCAUCAAGUCUUACUAAUAGCCGUUUCGGAUUGACAUGAAACCGAAGAAUUUUCAUAUAUCACUAGGUUACCUCAAUGGGGAUUUGCAUCCGCCCAACAAUAAAAUUGUAAUAAAUUCUCUUGGCAAUAGGUAGAGGGAUUUGAAAAUAUCCAAUGAUAAUGUGGCACAAGGAUCAAUGACAUUAAUAUUGUUAUCCAUAGCUUGCUUCUUCGGAAAAUGGACGAUAUGUUGCUUGCCACUGACAUGAAAAGUUACCUUCCUUUUGUUGCAAUCAAUAACAUCCCCUACAGUAUUAGAAAGGGUCUACCAAGGAUGAUCGACAUAUUGUCGUCCUCAUCCAUAUCAAGAAUAACAAUUUUAUUAAGAUAGUAACAUUUGCAAACACAACAGGAACAUCCUCGCAAAUUCUAAUAGGUAAAGAAGUGGUAUUAUCACCCAUUUGCAAAGGUAUCUCAGUGGGUGUAAGAUUAUUCAAAUCUAGUCUUUUAUAGAGAGAUAAAGUCAUAACACUAACACCAGCUCCUAAAUGAGAUAGAUCAGUUUUAACAUAAUUUCUUUUAAUAAAGGAAGGUAGAGUGGGUAUGCCAGGAUUUCCCAACUUCUUAGGUACUCCACCAUCAAAAGAAUAAUUAGCAAGCAUAGUAGAAAUUUCAAUCUCAUGUAUUUUUCUCUUAUUGGUGAUAAUAUCCUUCGUAAACUUAGCAUACGGAGGCAUUUUCAAUAUAUCAAUCAAGCGAGUACGCAAAAAGGUAGGUCUAAUCAUUUCAGUAAAGCGCUCAAAUUCUUCCUUGUCCUUCCCUUUAUAAGGUUUACGAGGGAAGGACUUGGGUUUCUGAACCCAUGUAUCUCUUUCUUUUCCAUGUUUCCUAGCAACAAAGUCUCUUUUAUCAUAGCUUUUAUUCCUAGUGCGUGGGUUAUCAAGAUUUUCAACACGUUCUGUUUCCACAUCAUUAUUAGGUUCCACAUUACUAUCCGGUGGAUCUUCUACAUGAACAUCAUUAUUAUCGUUAUCAUUAUCACUAAGUUCAUGUUCGCUAUUAGAUUGUGUCUCACCAUCAGAAAUAGAAACAUCAUUAUGAUUCUCAACAGGGUUUUCUAUAACAGGUUUACUAGGAGCAUGCAAAUUCUAUCAUUUUUCUUUUCUUUUUCUUCUUAGAAGGACUAGGUUUAUCAUCAUUUAUUCUCUCAGAAUCCCGUUCAAUUCUUUUAGGGUGACCCUCAAGAUAAAGAGGUUCCUGAGUCAUGCAACCUCCUCUAGUCAUCACUCUAACAACAUGAUCAUUCAUAUUAUCAUUUAUUACAGCAAGUAUAUCAUUUCGUGACUUACAACUUGGUCCAGUUGGGUGUGAACCAUAGAUGCAUGUUUAUCUGGACCUUUCACAUCAUUAGCAAUUCUAAACAUCAAGUCACUUAAGCGGUCUAUCAUCAUGGAAUUUCGUCUUAAUUGAUCCUUAACAUAGUUAUUAAAGUGCUUUUUCUUAACAAUGUAAUUAUCAAAUUCAUCCAUGCAUUGACUAGGAGUCUUAGUAUAAGGUAUAUCACUUUCAUUAAAUGAAUGAGGAGAAUUUACCUCUACUACCUAUGUUGGAAUAUCAGGUCCAUGAAUUUCUUUGAUAGGUGGUACAUUCUUGACACCUUCAAUUUUAAUACCUUUAUCUUUCAUAGAUCUUUUUUGCUUCUUGCGUAUCUUCAGGGAUGAGGAAUAAAAUACCUCUCUUCUUGUGAACAGGUUUCAGAGGUGGUUAUGGGAGUGUCCAAUCAUCGGCAUUUUGCUAUAUGUUAUUUAAUAAUUCUUCAGCUUGUCCAAUAGUUCUUUCUCAGAAAGCAGAACUAGCACAACUAUCUAGGAAAUCCCUAGAAGCACCUGUUAGCCCGUUAUAAAAUAUAUCAAGAAUUUCAUUUUUAUUAAGAGGAUGAUCAUGCAAAUCUCUAGGUAACCAGAGAAGCGCCCCGUGAUCUUGAGGGAGAUUCUCUUCUUAAAUUUGCAAAAAGCUAAAUAUUUCCUACAAGCCAGCUUGUUUCAUACGAGCAAGAAAAUAAUUUUUAGAAAAAUAAUAAAGCAUAUCCUGGGGACUACGCAUACAACCAACAGCCAGAGAAAGGAACCAUUCCUUAGCCUCGCCUUUGAGCGAGAAAGGAAAAAAAGCUUAAGGAUAUAAUAGUAACGUAUCAUUUCAACAUUUGUAAACAAAGCAGCAAUAUCAUUCAGCUUCAUGAGGUUUUCGACAACAGUUUUAUUUUCAUAACCAUGGAAAGGAUCGAACUCAACUAUAGGAAUCAAAUGAGGGUCUAUAGAGAAUUCAUAGUCCUUAUCAAUGACAAAUAUAGUAGGUGAAUGGCAAAUUUAGGAUGAUGUAUCAUUUUAUCCACCAUAGAUUUUGCUUUUAAUUUGCAUAGUAGUUUCUUCAAAUCAUAUCUAUCUUUACAAGCAAGAAAGUUGCUAGCUACUUCCCCAUCCAUAACAUAACCAUCAGGUACACAAGGCAAUUCAUAUCUAUUAGGAGAGCGAGGUGUAGCAAGUGAUUCAAAAUCUUCAUUAGUUUUAGCAUUUUCAAGUCCUCUAGCUUUAGCAAGAUGAGCAUCAAGUAAUUCCUUCAGUCGCACAGUUUCAGUUUCAUCAAGUAUAGUAGUACUAUCAUCAUUAAUUUCAGAGGUAGCAUCAUCAAGUUCAUGUCACAUAUCACGACAAACAACGAGUGGUGGUGUAACAAGUUGAUUCAAAAUAGUAAGUGAAUCAAAAGUAGAGCUAGAUGGCAUUUCCUUACCUCCUCUCGUGCGAGAGGGGAUGAUUUUAGUUAAAGUAUCUUUAAGAUUCUUCAUAGUAUUAAUUGGAUAUACUCAAGUAAACACAAUGAAUAUAGCUAUGCUCCCCCGCAACGACGCCAAAAAAGGUCUUGAUAACCCACAAGUAUAGGGGAUUGCGACAAUCUUGACGGGUAGUGUUUCACCCUAAUUUAUUGAUUCAACACAAGGGGAGCCAAAGAAUAUUUAUAGGCCUUGACAAUUGAGAUGUCAAUUCAAACGCACCUCGGAUAUCUCUCUGCAGCAAAGAUUUAGUAGCACGACAAACAAUACUAGUAGACGUAAGAGUGAUAACAACAAUUUUGGUAACAGUAGUAGCAAGCAUGACAGUAGCAGCAGUAGUAGUAACUUAGCAAGAUUCAAUAUUUGUAAAGCAUAGCCACAUGGAUUAGAAAUAAAAAGAUAUAGAUGACAUCAAUCAUGUAAUAGUUACACACUAGAGCGACACAGAGCUAGCUCCACUUCAUCAAUAUAAUGUAGGCAUGUCUUCCGUAUAUAGUCAUCCAUCCUUGCAAUAAGAACUUGCAUGAAAUCUUUUGUCCUACCCUCGUGUGGCAGCAGGAUCCUAUUGGAAACUUAGGGAUAUUAAGGUCUCCUUUUAAUAGAGAACCGGAACAAAGCAUUAACACAUAGUGAAUACAUGAACUUCUCAAACUACUACAAUCACCAUAAAGAAUCCCAAUUAUUGUCACCUUGGGGUAUGCGAAUCAAGACACAUAAUUGGUAACUACAACUUACAAGAUAGGAUACAAAUACUUUUCAUAUUAAGAGAGACCAUAAUAAGUUUAGAGCCGACAACAUGGCACUUGGGCACUAGUGACAAGCAUUAAGCAUAGCAAAGUCAUAGCAACAUCAAUUCAGAACAUAGUGGAUACUAGGGAUCAAGCCUAUCAAAAUUAACUCGAUUACAUGAUCAAUCUCAUCCAAACCUCGUCAUCAUACAACAAGCCUACUAAGUAAUCACUCACACCCGGUGGUGAUCAUCAUGGAAUCGCUGAUGGUGAAGGGUUGAUGAUGCUAAUGGCGACGAAUCCCCCUCUCCAGAGUCCCAAACAGACUCCACAUCAACCCUCUCGAGGAAGAACGGGAGGUGGCCGAGGCUCCAUCUCGUACAACACAAUGAAAUAUUCUCUCUGAUUUUUUCUGUCAGAAGAAGUGAAUUUAUAGGAUUGGAAUUAGGGUCGGGGGAGCCACAUGGGCCCCACAAGUCAUGAGGGCACCCCUAGGGGGAGUGGGCUGCCCUGUUGGCUUGUGGCCCAUAGACAUCCCUUCUUUGGUGGUUCGUCGCUCCAUAAUUCAUUAUAUAUCCCAGAAAUAAUUCACAAAGAUUUUCGUCCAAUUCUGAGAACUUUUAUUUUUGAACAAAAAUAACACCAAGGUAAUUGUGCUGAAAACAGCAUCAGUCCGGGUUAGUUCCAUUGAAAACAUGCAAAUUAGAGUCCAAAACCAGAGCAAAAGUGUUUGUAAAACAAGAUACUUUGGAGACGUACCAAAAAACACAACACAUCUAUAAAGUAGCAGAAGGAUUUCUAGCAUCAUUCCCAAGGAGUAUCAUUAAUCAACCUAAGGUUCGUUCGGACACAUUAGCAUUUACUUGUUAUAAUUUUUACUUGCCUUUAUUUUAUAGUUUUAGAAAAAAAUAAAAAUAUCAAAAAUAUCCAUGUUACUAUUUUUGUUUGUGUUGGCAUGUGCCUUCUAUUUCCUUGCAUUUUCGCUUGCUAAAAAUUGUUGAUAUUGAUCCUCAUCCACUCGCUAAUCUUUUCAAAAGACCCAAUUAUGUUCAACCAAUUGCUAGUGAGUUGAAUGCACUUAAUUAUGUUUAUGAAGUUUUUCUUGAAAGUCAUGAAUAUGAAAAUUGUGAUGAAGUGUUAAAAGAAACUUAUAAAGCGAUUCAUGAUAUUUACUAAAUGAAAAGCAUGAUUGCAAUGAUGAUAGUAUAAAUUCUAUUAAUGCCAAUUUUGUUAAUGAUAUGCAAAACUACAAGUUUGGGGAUGAUGAUUUUGUAAGGUCCACUAGUUUUUGCAAUGAUCCUGAUUGGGGUGAUAAUGAUUCUUAUGAUCUUGAAAAUUUACUUAAGCUUGAUGAUGAAUAUGUUAUUGGUAGUAAUAUUUGCAAUAUUAUUGAAAGUGGGUUUGGAAGAGUGUCAACUUUAGGCAAGAAUUCCUCACAUUCGGAUAGUGUUGAGUGUUAUUUUUUUUUUCAUAUAAGUGGGUUUGGAGAGGUCAUGACUUUAGUUGAUGUUAGUCCCUCUAUCUUGGAAGAUUACAAAACUUCUAUGCAUAUGGAUCCNNNNNNNNNNNNNNNNNNNNNNNNNNNNNNNNNNNNNNNNNNNNNNNNNNNNNNNNNNNNNNNNNNNNNNNNNNNNNNNNNNNNNNNNNNNNNNNNNNNNUUUCUGUGCAUUUAGUUUUAGCUUUCGAGUAAGUAAGUUCGCGAGAUAUUUUGCUAUGUUGCCCUUUUAAUUAAUUCGUAGGAUUUAUUCCGUGCCUCGUUUGAAUUAGUUGUCAACUAGGGAGUUCUUCUUAGAUGUUUUGUUUAGCCCCUGGUAUUUUUAGUUGCAAUAGAAAUGCAUGUUUAGGUGUGGUUUGACUGCCCUCAAGUUGCUAGAAAUAGUGCUGUUUUAGAGGAGCUGAAAUAUUUCUAAGUCUGGGAUCUGUUAUAAUUUAUUGCUGUCUUGUCUUGCUUGCAUCUUGUGAUCUGUAGCUCUUUUGAGGUUGGUCCAAUGGAGUUAGUUGUACCCCUUGUGUUUCUCUAGCAUGCUAUAAAUUUUCACGCCAUUUGGAGUCCUGUAGCUAUAGGUUUUGCUUCUGUCAAUAUAGCUUCAGAUCGAAAACUGCACUUUCAUGAGGUGUAAUUUUCACUAAGUCUGAAAUAGUGUGUGGGAUGCCAUUUUGUGUCUUCUUUUCCUAGUGCUCCUUGCUGCCAUGCUAGUUGUUGUUAGUUGUUCAUAGUAGUGCUUCUUGCCCUAUUCCGUGCCAUGCCUUGCUUGUGCAUUUCGGAGUUAUGUAGCUCGUAGUUGUGGGGCGUAGAUUAUGCUAUGUGGCUGAUUUUGGCAGAUUGUAGUCAUUUCUUGUUUUGCUCGUAGGUGUUGAACCGUAGCUCCGAUUUGAUCGUGUCCUACAUGAAACUUGCUUAGAAUCUCGUGUAGUUUCAUUUUCUCUUGCUGUUUGAAUGUUUUGACGUGCUCGUGACCGUCGUUGCACACAUNNNNNNNNNNNNNNNNNNNNNNNNNNNNNNNNNNNNNNNNNNNNNNNNNNNNNNNNNNNNNNNNNNNNNNNNNNNNNNNNNNNNNNNNNNNNNNNNNNNNNNNNNNNNNNNNNNNNNNNNNNNNNNNNNNNNNNNNNNNNNNNNNNNNNNNNNNNNNGUGUGGUGAAUUUCGUGUCUUGAUUUGUGUUUCUGGUUUGCUUCGUCUCGAUAGAGUUCCGCAACGUGCCGAAUUGUGAGGACCCGUUCGACUACGUCAGUUCGUCUGCUUCACGGAGGCAUUCUUCUUCCAAGCGGGAUCUCAGGCAAGAUGAUCAUUUCCCUAGAUACGAUUACUAUCAUUGCCAUAAUAGUUAUUUCGAUGCUAUCGGUUAUGUCUCGUUGCCUACNNNNNNNNNNNNNNNNNNNNNNNNNNNNNNNNNNNNNNNNNNNNNNNNNNNNNNNNNNNNNNNNNNNNNNNNNNNNNNNNNNNNNNNNNNNNNNNNNNNNNNUAAAUACAUAAACGUGGAGUUUCGUCAAUAUGCAACUCUUUGCAUAUUGAACUUCACUUAAUGUGUAGUGUUUGAUUGUGUGAAUUGUCAUGCCGUGACUUGCAUGUAUUCAGUAGCUCACGCAUCAUAUGUGUAGUGCAUCGUGUGGUGAAUUUCGUGUNNNNNNNNNNNNNNNNNNNNNNNNNNNNNNNNNNNNNNNNNNNNNNNNNNNNNNNNNNNNNNNNNNNNNNNNNNNNNNNNNNNNNNNNNNNNNNNNNNNNNNNNNNNNNNNNNNNNNNNNNNNNNNNNNNNNNNNNNNNNNNNNNNNNNNNNNNNNNNNNNNNNNNNNNNNNNNNNNNNNNNNNNNNNNNNNNNNNNNNNNNNNNNNNNNNNNNNNNNNNNNNNNNNNNNNNNNNNNNNNNNNNNNNNNNNNNNNNNNNNNNNNNNNNNNNNNNNNNNNNNNNNNNNNNNNNNNNNNNNNNNNNNNNNNNNNNNNNNNNNNNNNNNNNNNNNNNNNNNNNNNNNNNNNNNNNNNNNNNNNNNNNNNNNNNNNNNNNNNNNNNNNNNNNNNNNNNNNNNNNNNNNNNNNNNNUUAUGUCUCGUUGCCUACCACUUGUUAAAUAUCAGCCUCUCAACAAUGCCAUGUUAACCUUCAACCUGUUCGACCUAGCAAACCACUGAUUGGCUAUGUUACUGCUUGCUUAAUCCUGUUGAUAGCGUUGCUAGUUGCAGGCGCAGUUGCUUCCAUGUGAUAACAUGGGUUCCUUGUCAUAUCANNNNNNNNNNNNNNNNNNNNNNNNNNNNNNNNNNNNNNNNNNNNNNNNNNNNNNNNNNNNNNNNNNNNNNNNNNNNNNNNNNNNNNNNNNNNNNNNNNNNNNNNNNNNNNNNNNNNNNNNNNNNNNNNNNNNNNNNNNNNNNNNNNNNNNNNNNNNNNNNNNNNNNNNNNNNNNNNNNNNNNNNNNNNNNNNNNNNNNNNNNNNNNNNNNNNNNNNNNNNNNNNNNNNNNNNNNNNNNNNNNNNNNNNNNNNNNNNNNNNNNNNNNNNNNNNNNNNNNNNNNNNNNNNNNNNNNNNNNNNNNNNNNNNNNNNNNNNNNNNNNNNNNNNNNNNNNNNNNNNNNNNNNNNNNNNNNNNNNNNNNNNNNNNNNNNNNNNNNNNNNNNNNNNNNNNNNNNNNNNNNNNNNNNNNNNNNNNNNNNNNNNNAGCUGGUCUGGCAAGGCCCAACUUUGGUACUACAUUUGCCUAAUCACUAAUGAACUGCAUAGGGAGUAAUUAACCCGAGGAUAUUUUAAUCAACCCCCGGGCCAGUGCUCCUCAUGAGUGUUGGUCCACCCACCUAGCAGUCGGCGGUGCCACCACGGGGCAACUCGAGGUUUGGUUCCCGUCCACUUGCAUAGACGGUGUGUCUUGAGAACGAGAUACGCGGCUCCUAUCGGGUUCGUCGACACACCGGGUGGCCUUGCUGGAUUAGUUUUACCUUUGACGAGAUAUCUUGUGCAUCUGGAUUCCGGUGAUGCUUUGGGUAAUCUCAGAGUUGAGGUUUUCCACUAGGGAAUCCGACGAGAUCGCGAGCUUCGUGAUUCAGGAUUUCUAUGCGGCUUGUGGUAAUUUGUGAUGGACUAGUUGGAGCACCCCUGCAGGGUUAAAUCUUUUCGGAAAGCCGUGCCCGCGGUUAUGUGGUAACGUGGUAGCUUUGCUUAACACUGGUUCUAGAUAACUUGAAGUUAAUUUAAUUAAAAUAUGCCAACUGUGUGCGUAACCGUGACUGUCUCUUUCGUGAGUUCCUUCUCCGAUCNNNNNNNNNNNNNNNNNNNNNNNNNNNNNNNNNNNNNNNNNNNNNNNNNNNNNNNNNNNNNNNNNNNNNNNNNNNNNNNNNNNNNNNNNNNNNNNNNNNNNNNNNNNNNNNNNNNNNNNNNNNNNNNNNNNNNNNNNNNNNNNNNNNNNNNNNNNNNNNNNNNNNNNNNNNNNNNNNNNNNNNNNNNNNNNNNNNNNNNNNNNNNNNNNNNNNNNNNNNNNNNNNNNNNNNNNNNNNNNNNNNNNNNNNNNNNNNNNNNNNNNNNNNNNNNNNNNNNNNNNNNNNNNNNNNNNNNNNNNNNNNNNNNNNNNNNNNNNNNNNNNNNNNNNNNNNNNNNNNNNNNNNNNNNNNNNNNNNNNNNNNNNNNNNNNNNNNNNNNNNNNNNUUAUGCGUAGAUCUUCCCCUCCCCCCUCGUUUUCUCGUACUCGUAAGUUAGCCACCAAAUAUAUGCUUAGCCGCUGCUGCAACCUCACCACUUAACCAUGCCUCACCCAUUAAGCUUUGCUAGUCUUGAUACCUUUGGAAAUGAGAUUGCUGAGUCCCCCUGUGGCUCACAGAUUACUACAACACCAGUUGCAGGUAAAGGUAAAGGUUACUGGACGCGAGCGCGUUGAUUGUUCAUUUGGAGCUUCUUCUUCUUCUUCUUCUUCAUCGAUCUAGGAUGGGUUCCAGGCCGGCAGCCUGGAUAGCAAGGAUGGACGUCUUUCUUCUUUUGUCGUUUGUUUUCGUCCGUAGUCGGACCCUGCUCUUACUCUUGAUGAUUAUGUAAUUUACUGAUGUGACUUUGAUGUAGCUUGUGGCGAGUGUAAGCCAACUCUGAAUAUAUAUAUCUUCUUUUCAGUACAUGUACUUGUAACGAUAUCCAUUCUUGCGACACGACGAGAUGCGCUUCUAUCCCUGACGAGGCCUUCGUGCCAAAUUGAGGAUAGGGUCGCAUCUUGGGCGUGACAAGUUGGUAUCAGACCAUUACCGACCUAGGAGCCCCCUUGAUUGAUCGAACUUGGCCGAGUCGAGUCUAGUGAAAAACUAUUUGAGUCUUAGUUAUAUAUCGGAGAGUAGGAUUCUUUUUUUCUCCUCUUCUAUGCUCUGGUGAGGAAUCUUGACGUAAUAUUUUAAUUCUACUCCUCUUCUUACUCAAAUUUUUUUUAGGAUCAUGCAGAUAUUUUUGAGAUCUAUAUGAUGCCGAUGUGAGGGAGUUCUGUCUUGGUGCCUCCUGUCUGACUUGAUUUUCUUCCGGGGAGUUGAGCUCCAGGGGAUUCUCGAUCACAUCGUUAUCAUUCAGAUUUCUUAGUAUCUCAGAACGAAGGAUGUUCGUAAUUGCUUCAAUACUAGUAGUGGCGAGAUAACCCCGAUGUCCCCAGUACUGGUGCAGAUUGUUCGGGAGUACUGCCAUACUUUGUAUCAUUGUGAUCACGAGGGUCUGUUGUGGAUGAAGGUCCGAGAUUCUGGUUGUGUGUUGAAGGAUGUGAUACAGGUGACGGGUUAGUAUAGGAGUUGUGUGAUAAUUACUCCUUGUAUCCGUGUACCAGAUUGCAUGACCAGAUCUUUCGGGAAUUCAUAGGUGGGAAUUCAAGUAGUUACUUAUAGGACAUUCUUCCAACAAAUGCAUGAUAUUAGGUUGGGGUUCGACAUCUAGUGGAUUCGUUUGUUCACGUCGACUUACAACAGUACACGUUGUGUCUUAAAGAGUCCUUGUAGCUUGCUACGACUCGGGGACGCUUCGUAUGUCGGGUGCACUGCCUUGCACUUGAUGGCUACUGUAAAAUCGUGCCCGUGCGAUCUUGUCCACGAAAAUAUCGGACGAAAUCUUUCUCAUGAGUUUGUUCUGGCUAAUUGUAAGCAUCACCCUUUGUUUUGUUGGAAUAUGGGAAUUCAAGUUGCUUCGAUGUCAAGUGGUGAUUUCAGAUCUUUCCUAAGCGGUGUUCUCAUAUUUUUGUGGGAAUGCUAAUUCUCUUUGCUCAAAUCAAUUGUCUUAUCAUUCUUGUCAACCGGAGUCGUCAUGUUAAUUAUUUUCCAACCGGUGUGUUUCUCUCCAAGUGGAUUCAAUCCUCUCCAAUUUUUGCAAGAUCAUUCUCUCGUUUUAUUCCGGAGUUCAUCUCAUCUGUCCCAUGUUGUCUUUGUUUUCCCGCCCUCCCGCCCUUUUUCUCAGUGAUUCAAUUUUCAUCCAGGAGUUUUCUUUUCUUUGUGCUUCCGCUGUCUGUUCUUUUCUCUCUUACCCGGGGAUGCAUUGUGAAGAUUCUCAGGAGCUUCGUGUUCAUAUUUGUUCGUUCUUGUCAUCCUUACCGGUGAAUUUAAUUCAGUUCUCCGUGUUCAUCAUAUUCCUUUCGUCCUUGUAAUUCUUUCCUCUGUUGGAAAUUCUUAUCUAGUCUUUUGUUGGCAUUUAUCUCUAUUCUAUCUGGUGUGUUGAAGACAUCUCAGAGUUUCUUGUUUCAGAUCUUUCAUUAUUUCGAGGUUCUCAACCUCAUCUAGUUUUCAUUUGUACCGGUGCAAUAUCUCUCUUUCUAAGAAAUCUUUUCAACGGUGAUUUCUCUGAGUGGGCCCAUAACCCACAGGUUUUUCCCAGGAUCUUAUAUGUCUCUUCUAUUUUUCCACAGAUCUUUAAAUCUUUUCAACUAUGACGUAAGUAUGAUUUUCAUCAGUCAUAUCCCUUCUUCAAGAUCUAUUUCAAUUAAUUCAUUCUUUGGCUCAACCUUUCAUUCUUUUCUAUUCCGGAGUGUCUCAGUAAUUCUUGGUGGUGUUCUUCUCAUCAUUCUCUUCUUUCAAGACCGAAGGAGUGUUUCUCUCAAAUCUUGGUCUAUUCUCUUGGAUAUUCCUCAUUUCAGCUUUGUGCCAUCAUCCUGAAUUUGUUGCCAAUCAUGAGUAUCCUUUUCUUGCGAUCCGGUGCAUUUCUGAGUUGUUUUUAUUUCUCGUUCCUCCGAAGGCCAUCAUUUCAGAAGAUUCUUCGUUCUCAGCUUUCAUCUUUCAUCCUCAAUUCUUCUCAAUUGUUGUCUCUUCGUUCGUCUCUCAUUUAUCCGGUGCCUUGUUUAAGUUUUUUUUCUUCUCUCAGGUGACUCAUGAUCUCUUCAUUCUCUGGUAUCUCCAUUCAUCCGUGGUGUUCCCAUUCAGUUGUGAAUUCUUACCGGUGCUUCCCUAAUUUUGCCUCAAGUGGUGCUUAUCUCUCUGCCUCUUCAAGAUUCUUUCAAGAAGAAUAAGUGGUAUGCUAAAUACGUUGCUUGUCAUCAAUUAAACUUGAUGAAGGAUAAGCAUAACAUAAUUCUUAUUCUUGUUCAUAGUAAUCUGAAUUCGUCGUCCGGAGUGGCUCAUGAUAUCAAUUCCUUUUUUCUCAAGUGUUCUUAUCUUUUCUUUUCCGGAGAUCCAAGUUUUCUCAAGUUUCUCUUCGUGAAGCUUCAUCGAAGACUUUGCAAGGCUUCAAUCUUAUUCUUUCAUCCUUCAUAUCUUUGCAUCAUUCAUUUGUAUACGGUGGUCCUUCAUGGUGGUUCAUCAAGGUUUCUAUCCAUUCUUAAGUGUUCUUCAAGAUUCGUGUUGGAGAACCUCAAGUAUCCUUUCUCUUGCAUUUCCAAGUGCAUUUGUUCUUCCUUAUCCUUUGAGGUGGUAUUAUAGCGUUCUUGUUAGUGUAGGAGACUCGAAGAGUUUUCCUUUCAAGAAUGAGAUAAUUGAAUCCACCAAUCCUUUGAUCAUGAGAUUAUUCUUAACUCAUGGUUUCUUCAUUGAGCUAUCUUGGUUUGGAUUUCACCUAAAGAUUUUCCUAUGGAUUGUCCUAUCAUGGUGCUUGUCAUUAACCCAAGUUCUCAACGGAUCCUCUUGGUGUAAGAGAGUGUUCAUAUCUUGUUUCUCCCAAUCAAUCCUUGUUUCUAUUAGUGGCUGGUUGGCACUUCAUUAGUUUGAAAAGGUUCCCAUAAGCCCACUACUAUCUUGUUCUUUUCAUUGUUGUUUUUCCAACAGUUCCGUCCAAUUCUUCUUGCAAGAAUGCUUGUCAAGUUCAUUGGAGUUAGUAGUUGUCAUUCUCUUCUUCCGUAUGAGCUAGUUCCUAUUCUAUUGUUCCGGAGGCUUUGUGAUAUUGCUCUUUUGGGUCAAUCUUGUUGUUCUAUCAAGAUCAUGGUCUUCCCUUGUUCUAUUUAGUUGUUUGUUAUGUAUAUUGUCUAUUUCUUCUACCUUUUCGAUUUUUUUGUCCCAUUUUCCUACCGAAGUGCUGCCGAAAUUUUCCGUGAAUUCUUGCUUGUUUCUCAUAUCAUUCCUCAUCUCUUUGCAACUUUCAAGGGUCGUUGGUUUCACUCGUUUGUCAAAGAAGCGACUAAGUCUUUACCUCUUACUCUUUCUCAUCCUCUCCCCCUUUCAUUCUUGGAUCUCGGGGUGAGAUUCUCUUGUAGUGUAGGAGAGUUGUGACAGCCCGAUGCCGACGUUCAAGAAGAUUCCCUUUCCUUUUCGUUUUCGUCGUGUGUCUGUUUUAUUUUGUCGCAUCAUCAUCGCAUCAUGCGCAUCAUCAGCAUUGCAUCGGCAUCCCGUUGCCGCCCGUUUUUAAAACGUGCAUCUCUUGUUAGUUGCCGGUUCGCGUCGUUGUUCGUUCUGCGUCUGACCGCACACGCACGCGCCCGCGGCACCGUCGUAACUCUGUUUUUAAAGCGUGUAUAAAACUUUCUCCGAUUGAGCUAGAAUUUGUCGUGCGGUUUUAUUUAUAUAUAGGUAGGCCGCCUGUCGAAUUUCGUCGCGAUCGGAGAUCGUCUGGUACCCGAACGGUCGACCGUAGCGGCAUCGUAUUCGGUCUACCGUCGGACGUCUGUCGGUGUUUUAAAAAUCGUUGCCGCGCCGCCCGUUCUCCCUCUCGUCUCCGGAUAUCCCCUCUACACGGCCGCGUACCCAUACCCGCGUUCGGAAUCGUCCGAAUCCGACCGCACGGUUGGAUCCGAAACGCGAUUCCGGGUAACCUAGCCCCCCCCCCCGUUUGUCUAUAUAUAGGUCCCUUCUAAUUUUCGGACAGCCUCCCUCUAAUCCCUCCUUGUUUUCCGCGCCACCUACCCCUAACCCUAGCUCUCCUCCCGCAGACUCUCUCUCCCGCAGCCGCCGCCGGCCCGCGAGGCCCGCAGCAGGCCCGCCCGGGCCCGAGCCACCGCGCCGUCCUCGGGAGGAGCCCGAGCUCCCUGUAGCUCCCCUCCACGAGCGCCUCCCGCUGGUCGCCGCGCCGCCCCCGGGCGCCUUGGCCGACGAGGCCCCCUCCUGCCUCCGCCACCGGAGAGCCUCGCCGGAUCCUGCCUGCAGCCCCGUCGGACCACGCCGGAACCCCAUCUCCAUGCGCUACCAGCCUCGCCGCCGUGCACCCCGCGCCUCCGCCUAGCUCCGCCUCUCCCGAGCCGAUCCGCUCCUCGCCGACGCCGGGAUCCGGCCGCCCUGGCCAGAUCCGGCAGAGCCCCCACCGGAUCUGCCUCCCUCCGUGGCCUGCGCCACACGCCCCGACAGAGGGUGCGCCGCCGCCGUUCCCGUGCCCUCGUUCUCCUCGGGAGCACGGGAGGAGACGAGCAGCAGCACAGCGCUCCCGCUGGGCCACUUUGCCGCGUCCUGGGCCUCCCCCGCACUGCGGCCCAGCUCCCCGUGUCAUGCCCCAGGCCCAGGCGCGCCCCCGGCCCAGCAGUGUCGAGGCCCAGGCCGCCUCCCCUCGCUCUGGCCGGCUUCCUCCAGAUCUGGGCCGAAGCCCAUGGUGAGCCUCUCCCCCCUGUCCUCUCUAUUUUGCGCUUAGGCGUUGCUUAGUUCCUUUGCGCAUGCCCUGUUGGGCCCAGGAAUGGUUUAGGCCCAUUAGAAUUUAGGUUGUUCGUUUAUUCAAUUUCAGGGCUUGUUAGAUAUUUUAAAAUGUCGUAACUUUUUAACCGUAUAUCGGUUUGCGACGAGUAGCAUAUGUAUCUCGUGUAAAUUUUCGCGUAGAAUCCGAUGUUAUAGCUUGCAAUUUUGUUUGACGUCGUUUAGCAUGUUGUUUGCCUAGAUAAGCGUGUUGUUCUAAUAGAUUUCAACCCGUAUUUAUUUUUCGUGCAAGAUUGGGUUGCUCGAAUGCCUUAGAUAAAUGCCCAUGUUUUAGGGACUAUUUAUCCAUGUUUUUUAGAGCAGUCAUUUGUAUUUUUUUACGUGUAGGGAUUGCUGGUAGAUUACUUUCCCGUGUAUAGGUUAUAUUUCUCGCAUUUAUGUGUGGCUUUAUUUUGUGUUGCAACCCCACAUAUUUUAUAUGUUUCUGUGCAUUUAGUUUNNNNNNNNNGAGAUUGCUGAGUCCCCCCUGUGGCUCACAGAUUACUACAACACCAGUUGCAGGUAAAGGUAAAGGUUACUUGACGCGAGCGCGUUGAUUGUUCAUUUGGAGCUUCUUCUUCUUCUUCUUCUUCAUCAUCGAUCUAGGAUGGGUUCCAGGCCGACAGCCUGGGAUAGCAAGGAUGGACGUCAUUCUUCUUUUGUCGUUUGUUUUCGUCCGUAGUCGGACCCUGCUCUUACUCUUGAUGAUUAUGUAAUGUACUGAUGUGACUCUGAUGUAGCUUGUGGCGAGUGUAAACCAACUCUGAAUAUAUAUAUCUUCUUUUCAGUACAUGUACUUGUAACGAUAUCCAUUCUUGCGACACGACGAGAUGCGCUUCUAUCCCUGACGAGGCCUUCGUGCCAAAUUGAGGAUAGGGUCGCAUCUUGGGCGUGACAAGGAACCAUCCCCACUGGUUUUUGUGAUUCAGUGAUUGUGCUCAUUCCGAAGGUUAAUAACCCUUAACAUCUCAAGAACUUUCGGCCAAUUAGCCUCUGUAAUGUCCUUUAUAAACUCACCUCGAAGGUACUCUCAAACCGACUUAAAGUUUUUCUGCCCGAGGUGAUUUCAGAGAAUCAAAGUGCAUUCAUCCCUCGUCGUCUCAUCACGGAUAAUGCUCUUAUUGCUUUUGAAAGUUUACAUACGAUAAGAUCCCAAAGAGCGAAAAAGCCUUACUUUGCUCUCAAGAUUGAUAUGAUGAAAGCAUACGACCGUGUUGAGUGGAAUUUUCUUCAUGGUUGUCUAUCACGGUUGGGUUUUGCUGAUUCCUGGAUAUACUCGGUGAUGCGGUGUGUUACAUCUAAUCGUUAUGCUGUCCGGGUCAACGGAGAUCUAACAGAGCCUAUGGUGCCAACCCGGGGUAUUCGUCAAGGUGAUCCAAUCAGCCCCUAUCUCUUUCUUCUUUGUACUGAAGGUCUGUCAUGUUUGCUCAAACAGCAGGUGGACCAAGGUGUGCUACAUGGUAUUAAAAAUGGUCGACUUGGUCCUGCUAUCUCCCAUUUACUAUUUGCAGACGACAGCAUUUUCUUUGCAAGAAGUGACAGGAGGAGUGUACAAGCUUUGAAAGAUACCCUUCACCUAUAUUGUCAGGGCUCUGGACAAAAGAUUAAUGUGGAUAAGUCUUCUAUCUUCUUUGGUAAUGAUUGUCCAAAGGUGAUCAAGAAUGAGGUUAAACAUAUCCUUGGUGUUUUCAGUGAGUCUCUACAAGAUUCUUAUCUUGGCAUGCCAACACAUGUGGGGCGAUCAACUACUAUGACUCUCAAAUUUUUGUAUGAUCGCAUGUGGAAGCGUAUCAAUGGAAUGUCUGAUAGACCAUUGUCUAGGAAAGGAGUGGAGAUUCUUUUAAAAUCUGUGAUUCAGGCGAUUCCAACAUACAUUAUGAGUUGUUUCCAUCUUCCCGUUGGUACUUGCGAGCAAAUGAGGAGAAUUAUUGCGGAUCAGUGGUGGGGUUUUGCUGAUGGUAAACGAAAGAUGCAUUGGCGUUCAUGGGACUGGUUGACAUGUCCGAAAGCUAUGGGUGGUCUUGGUUUCAGAGAUAUGAGUAUGUUCAAUCAAGCUAUGUUAGGCAAGCAAUGCUGGCGGCUAAUCACAGAACCAACUACAUUAUGUGCUCGUGUCCUUAAGGGACGUUAUUUCCCAAAUACAGAUUUCUGGAGCGCAAAAUGUCCACGGUCUGCUUCCUAUACUUGGCGAAGUAUUCUUCAUGGCAUGGAGCUUGUCAAGAAACGUGUCCGAUGGGGUGUGGGUAACGGUGCUUCCAUUAGGAUUCAGGAUGAUCAUUGGAUUCCUGGUGUCAAUCCACAGUUUUUACAUCUUCUGACUCCUCUAUCGGCUGGACAGAAGGUUAAUUCACUCUUUGCUGGUGAUGGCCUCACUUGGAAUACUCAACUAGUCCGAUCUGUCUUUGAGGAAUCGAUUGCGGAUCAAGUUCUACAACUUCCCAUCAGUCGGUUUGGGGACACUGACUUUGUGUCAUGGCCACAUACACGUUCUCGUACAUACUCGGUCCAAUCUGCCUAUCAUUUGGCAAGAAUGACAAAGAUGAUUGUAUCCCGCAGCAGGUCAGGUCGUGGUUUGUCUUCUAAUCUACAAUGUGAUGCUAUUUCAUGGAACAAAAUUUGCGCAAUCAAGGCUCCAGGGAAGAUGUUGAUAACUAUUUGGAGAUUCGCUCAUGAUUGCUUGCCAUCAGGAAUGCAACUUCACUGGCGACAUAUCCCUGCUUCUAAGGUUUGUGUCCAUUGUUCUGCAGAUGAGCACAUAGAACAUGCAUUGCUAUUUUGUCCUUAUGCAAAAGCGGUUUGUUCUGAUGUUAAAGCCUACUUCAACUUGCAUCUUUGUCAGAAAGGACUCAAAAAUUGCAAAACAUGGAUCUUUGAUUUUUUGGCAAGUUGUGAUGAUCUUUCUGCCACAGUUCUUGCAGUCACGUGUUGGCAUAUUUGGAUGCUAGAAAUAAACUACGAGAAGAAAAUAUUACUCAGCAUCCUAUUAGUCUGGCUCUGAAAGUUAAAGCUUAUGUUGACAUGAUAGUGCAGCAUUUGUACAUUACUACUACCAACCAUAGGCGUGAACCCUCUAGAACAGCUUCCUGGGUUCCGCCGCCGGCAGGUAAGGUGAUGAUAAACGUUGAUGCUGCCAUUUUUACACAUGACAAGAGCAUGGGGGCAGGUGUGGUGAUGCGGGAACAUUCAGGUUCUGCAUUGUUUGUUAUGGUAUUGGUGUUCCUGAUGUGAUCCUUCCUGAGUUAACGGAGGCCAUUGCAAUUUGCAUUGUGUAAAGGAAUUCAGGAAGUCUUACUUGGUUCUAAUUGCUUGACAGUUGUCCAGCGUGUCAACUUACUGGACCAAGAUCGAUCUAUUUGUGGUUCUGUGAUUCAGGACAUUAAGCAACUUAAGGCUUUGUUCACUAGUUGUUUUAUAUUUCAUGUGCGUAGGGAGCAGAAUGUUGCUACACAUCUGUUGGCUCGAUCUUGUAAUCAGCUAGAGUGUCGCGUUUGGCGUGGUGUGUCCCCGGAAUGUAUCCGGGAUGCUAUUUGUAUGGACAUUAUGCCAUAAUCUAUAAAGUGGGUUUGUUAUAAAAAAGGUCUUAUAUUUAGGAACGGAGGGAGUAAAUCAUUAAAUAGAAUGAGCUCAGCAACAACAAGUUAAGCAACUAUGCAUUGAAAAAUAGAGUUGCUAAGCUAUUUAAUGCUCUUAGCACCUUUCACUAGAAGGAGCCUAAGAGCAAUUUUAAUGGAGCUAUUCAUUUUGUCGGCCGUCAUACGUUUGGGUCGACGCAGACACAAAAGACGGCCCAGCGCGCCGAUCCAUUUUGAAAACAUGUCCGAUCCACGUCCGUGCCGACCCAUUUCCGGCCCAAAUUUGGGACUAAAAUGCGUCGGCGCGGACGUGCGCGCGCCCUCUCGGAGUCCGUGCCAACCACCGCGGUCUACAUAAUUUAUGACGCCCGCCCUCCUCGGGCCCACGCGUCAGUGGCCGUGGUUGGUCAUUUUUAAUCCGAGCGUGCUGUGGGGUUCGCCCAUCUGCUUUCAGAACCCUCCCCCGUCCCCAUCUCGCCACCCCUCUGUUUCCUCGUCGACGACCCAACAACCAUGAACAACGGCGACAACCUCGUCGUCUAUGCGCGCGCGAUGCUUCCAGAGGAGGUUGCCUACCUGCAGGCUAAGAGAGCGAUGCACCAGGGGCACGAGCGUGCCCGUGCUACGCCCGGCUUCGUCCAAAACACCCUCGUCGUCUACCCCCGCGCGCUGCUCCUCGAGGAGGCCGCCUACCUUCAUGCUAAGAUGGCGUUGCGCUUGGUGAACAAGCGCGCCCGUGCUGCGCCACCGCCUACACCAUCGCUACCCGCGCAGGCACAACCCGCCCCCGUUCCAGCACAACCUGACCUCGCCGACGCCGCCUAGGACGCCUAGUUUUUUUUUCAUUUAUAAUGUAACGCGUAGACUCUCGUUGGCCUUCGUGGCCGGCUUUUAAUGUUUAAUUGUGCAUGUUUAGUAUAUUUGUAAAUAAUUUAUAUUUUUUUGCACGCCUACAAAAAUGGGCCGAGCCAGCGUUGGACGCAUGUGCCGACCCAAACAUCGAAGCGGACAUUCGUGUCCGCUGGGCCGACCCAAACGGACAAAAAGGAGACAAAUCACCAUCUGUGUGGGUCGGCCCGUUGGAGUUGCCAUAAACGCUCUUAUAUUAGUUUAUAGAGGGAGUACAUAAUAAUUGUGCACAACAACUUUCGUUGGCUAUGUACUCAACUUUGGCAUUGGGGAGAGAUACACAUUUUUGCUUUUUGGAUGACAAAUUCACUAAUGACCUAUCAAGGAAUUUCUCAUUUAGAAACAUCGUAAAGUGACCAUACCAAGCACAUGUAUUGCUUGUCUCAGUCCAUAGAACGUCGAAGCAUGUUGAGUGUGAUAGCAUCGAGUUGAUCAACAACGGCCUCCCUUGGAGUAAGACUUGAAGGGUCAUUGGGCUUGAAGCCAUUGACAAUCAUCCACCAUAGCUGUGUUGAAGCAAUUUCAAGUGAGACUCUAUAGUGAGUUUCCACUUGGAAAGCUGAUUGAACUUCAAAGGAGGCGGAGGCCCAACAUGCUUAAUAUGUAGAUGAGGGAUAGGUUGUCUUGAGUAGUGAGGCUCAACAACAUUUUGGAUGGGGGUGACGAAUAGCUUAUGUGCAACUGGAGUUUCUCCCACAUCAUCCGUAUCAUGAACUAUAUUUGGAGAAGAUGAAGAUGAUGUGGAUGUGCAGACUUUACAACGAGCAUCAACCUCUUCGUUUAUGGUGGUGUGCAUUUGAUCCAACAAUGAAAUUUUGAUACCUGCAGCAGCCAAGGUUGCACUACGAGGGGGAGGAGUAGAGUUUACGAUGAUGGGAAGAUGAGGAGGGGAAUUUGAGUCCCCCACUAUAUCAAAUAUAUUCAUUAGGUGGUUAAUCCAUAAUAAAUAUCUAAGCUUUGAUACCAGUUAAAGGAUGGAGAUGUCUACCAGCUAGAGGAGGUGAACCGGAGACUACAUAUUUUACCUUAACCACCAUUUGCAAGGGAAAUGCAGAUACGUUAAAAUAUGUAGAUAUGCAACCUAUGGUGGGAACAACCUAUACGGCAAAGAAAACUAACACACUAGGGAAGAGGUAGUAACUAUAUAGCUAGCAAGCAAAGACAAGUAAUGGUAAAAAAAGAUUAACCGGUACUUGUCUUGAAGCUCAAUCUUUGGGGAGUGCUAAUCUCCCUCCGAGAGGUGCCAAAGCCAAAUCUCGAGAGCGCCACCAAAUGGUCAACCUAGUCUCCUUUUGAGUCACCACCAAUGGAAGAUCCUCACUUCACUUAUGGUUGGUCUCGAAGGCAACCACCAGGCCUUUUCAAACUUUCUUGGAGCACACCACACACAAGGAAGCUUCCGAGCAUUGACUCAAACCACCCUGGAUUUUCGAUUCUCCAACAAUAAUAGGUUUAGUGAUGCACAAGUGGGUAUCAAGAAUUGGUUUGGUGGAAAUGUAGAUCACACGACUUUCUUCCAAUCCUUAAAGUUUGGUGAAGUUUGAGUGGAAGGACUGACAGUAAGCAAUCCUUUUAAGACCAGCAAUGGAGGGGGAGGUCAAAAUCAAGGGUUAGGUUUAGAGGUUGAAGAAGGGUGGGUAUUUAUACCCCCUAAAAGUGUUUGUUGCCAACCUGAGGGCCCCAUGCGCAUGGUCUUAAGAUCCCAAGCGCACGAUGUCACCCCAGAGUAAAACCCUAGACCUCCUCCUUCGUGCGCAACAGGCUCGUGCGAAUCGGGUGUCCAUAGAGUUAUGGACCCGACCUCAUGUGCACAGGGUUAGCAGGCCCUUGGACAUGGUGUCCAAAGAGUUUCCCCUGGAACCCAUGUUCACGGGGUAUUGACCAGAUGUCUCAAAGGGGAGGGUUAACCCAUUUUCAAUGAUAGGAUUGGGAUGGCUUGUUGUAUAUGUUUUGCAUGCCGAGCAUAGUUAGGCAAUCACCUCAACCCCUCUUAAUUGUGUAGUUGUUCUACAACCCAAAACAAACCAAAACUAAACCUUUGAGUCUUCAAAAAAUCGAUGCCACUUCCCUUUUUGAAGUGGGGGUCAACAAACAAAAUACAUUCUAGGCACGACAUCAAUGUCCCGAGAUAAACAUAGAAACCAACAUUAGUCUCACUAACCCCAUUGUCAUCAACACCAAAAUCUCAAUAGAACUAAAUGCACUUUGACCUACCAAACAUGAUAAAGGAUUAUCUUGAUAUAUACUUCAGGGUUUAGCCAGAAAGGUUGCCUUUUCUUACUACCCAUACGUCUCCAUAUAUCGCUAUCAAAUUCCAAUUGAAUUUAGCUAUUCCAUAAAAAUAGUAACACCUACAGAAUAUCUGCCAAUUUCAAUGUGUACAUCUUCUAAAAUAUAAAUGUUUAGGAAAAUGAGAAUAGAUCCGGAUUCCCCCUCCCCUAGGAGGGGACUAAUGCCAACUAAAAUUUAUGCCCCCACACCAGGUAUGUAAGACAUUCUUAGUAAAUUUUGAUUUUAAUGGUUUCUUUAAGAUCAAUAUAGUUAAAUUUUUCCUUAUAUUAGCAAUUAUGUGACCAAUCGUUUUAGCAUGUUUUCCCAUAGCAUUAACAUUCUAGAAACCCCCCUUCAUCUCCAAACAAAUGAAUUGUAUCAUGGAUUUGUUUUCCUUGUGUCACUAUUGUCAACGGGACCUCGUGAGCUAAGAUCACUAUUUUUUUGUUAAGGAUUUCUUGCUGGAAUACAUCUUUCCUAACUGGUUCCAAUUUACUAACUAUUUCUCGCUCAUGCUCAACCAUAUCAAUAGAAAAACUAAAUCAAUUGCAACCAAAGAAGUUAAGUGCAUUACAAAAUCACUAUUGCAAGCAAAGUUUGAAAUUUUACCAUAAUUGUCCUUAGCAGCAACACUUUCUUUUGCGAGAUCCCCCACCCUCGUGUAUCCUUGUAUUUUAGUCUCUUGCAUCUCCUAGGAACACCUUCAACAACAUUGUUCUCCCCCUGAAUCAUAACCUCUUUACCCUGAAUUCUUCUCAUCCUAGUCCCAAAAAGAUUGAGUGGAUUUGUAGCUGCCAUUAUACUCAACCGAUUCCAAAGCAUUAUCAUCUCCUUCCUCAAUCCUUUCUCGGGCAACAUUCAUGCCACCAACCUCCUCGUUUACACCCUGCAAAGGAUAGUUCUCAUUCACAUCUUGUUGCAUUAUUUCAUUCUCUUCCACCCGUCUUUGGAUAGAUUAUGCAAAGUUUGUUAAACUAAAUUAUGUACCAUGUGCACCUCCAUUUCCAAUCUUUUCUUUUCAAUAUGUAAUUCUUGAACUUUCCUCUCUUGCAGCGCUCUCACUGCAUUGUAUAUUGUCCUCUCUUCUCUUGCGAGUUCAAAAUUUUUAAUGACAAUCUUCAUAUCAGCCUUUACCUUGUUUCUAUCCCCAGUCAAGUCUACUAGUUCAUUUCUCUGCCACGCAACCAACAUUAGGUCAACUCAUAGUGAUGGUUUACCAAAAAGAACUAGAGGCAUAUUUGGAAGCUAAAUUUUGUUGAGCGGUGUUUAGACAUAUGAGAUGGUUCGUAGCACCGAAUUUCCUCUAUCGGUUACAAGAUGGUUCUAGACUCGCUUUUCCUAUGCUUAGAUUUGCUAAAAACAUCGUUCGACUUAACAUCCUCGUGCAGUUUGAAUAAAUACGACACAUCAUGUCAAUCUUAGAUAUCGAGGAGAGGUGAGCCAAAUACGACACAUUACACCAAAAUCCACAUAAUGUAACUUUUUCUGUGCUAUCUUGGUUCAAACCCCUAGCGCAACCAAAUCAUUUCUAUAAGACUAAGGCAUGAUGAACUUUUGUUUAAAGAAAAAAUCGUAACCCUUUUUAAAAUUGUAAAACCUGUUAGUAUUUCCUGAGAUCCAAAACAAAUAUCAUAGUUUUAAAUUAAGAAUAGCUCAACCUUAUUUUAAAAUCUGUUAUUAUGGAUCAGAGGGAGUACUAUUCAAUUGGAUACAGCGAGAGAGGCCGAUGGAGAAAGAGCAGUAUGUAGUUGUAGUGAAACAAAAGACUAAGCUAAUAAAUUCAGAAUAAUGCAAGCACCGAUGUUAAGUUUGGGACUUAAACUCUGAUGGAUAUGGAAUAACACAGUCCUUCUAACCAUCUAACCAUGGAUCGGUUUGCAACUUCUUUUAUUUUGAAGCUUAGGGACAAGUGAGUUAACGCGUGAGCUAGAGUCUCCGGAAAAUGGAGCUCGGCCGUGUAUUAUAAUAUAAUUAAGCCAAAGCAUGGGCACACGAGCUAGAGUGCUGUAGUAUGUGAGUAAAUGGAUAUAUGCCAAAAGUCCGUCCUUUGAGCAAAGUUGCUUUGCUCCACUCCGUCCAAAAGUCGAGAGACAGAUCACGUCUGGCCUGGCCGUCGUAUGGUCCACCUCGCGAAAGCCCUUUUUCCGCUACCGAAAGGUGGCGCGUCGCAGUUGCGGCAGGGCCCGCGUGCUCGCGAAAAGACGUUCUUUUUCCCGGUGGUGAUCCCUUUUUACGAGCUCUGUGCAUCUGAUCUGAUAUGAUCUGAUGCCGUUAGUGUAAAUUUUAGCCGGNNNNNNNNNNNNNNNNNNNNNNNNNNNNNNNNNNNNNNNNNNNNNNNNNNNNNNNNNNNNNNNNNNNNNNNNNNNNNNNNNNNNNNNNNNNNNNNNNNNNNNNNNNNNNNNNNNNNNNNNNNNNNNNNNNNNNNNNNNNNNNNNNNNNNNNNNNNNNNNNNNNNNNNNNNNNNNNNNNNNNNNNNNNNNNNNNNNNNNNNNNNNNNNNNNNNNNNNNNNNNNNNNNNNNNNNNNNNNNNNNNNNNNNNNNNNNNNNNNNNNNNNNNNNNNNNNNNNNNNNNNNNNNNNNNNCCGGCUAAAAUUUACACUGACAGCAUCAGAACGCGACGGAAUACCCGGCUGGGGCUGGGGCUGGGAGCUGGGUCACCGAACGCGCGCAGUCCGGCGAGAAGGAUGGGACAAGAGAGAAGCUGCGUGAUAGGAAGAGCGGAGCAAAAGGUCCAGGACAGACAGACAGACAGACAGACACGAGCCCAUGGACAUGUCGUGGACUCGUGAUCCUGCAGCCUGGUGUUGUGCCUCACGCGUGAUCCGAGGAAAGAGAACAAGGGAGGUCCGGGAUCUCCUAUGUGGCGCUUCAGGCGCCACUACGGGAACGGGCGCCUGCAGUGCCCCUCUUCCUGGGUCGGCCCAUCUAAAAUGCUUUGGUUAUUUGUUUUGUUAGAAAACAUCACAGAAUUUUUUAAAUGUUUAGAUUUACGUAAAAAAUUAUGAUUAGGAAAAAAGGUUCACUGAUUUUUUGAAAUAUGUUCAUGAAUUUUUAAAAAGUUCACAGAAUUUUAAAAAAUUAUCAUUGAUUUUGAAAGAAAAUUCAUCAAUUUUUAAAAAAUAGUUCACCAAGUUUGAAAAAUGUUCAUGAAUAUUAAAGCAUGUUCAUAGAUUUUCAAAAAAGUUCACACAUUUCACAAAAAAUGUUCAUCUAUUUUCAAAAAAGUUUACAAAUUUUAAAAAAGUUCACGGGGUAAAACAGAUCACGGACUAAAAAAAUUCAUAAAGAAUUUCUAGAUAGGUCCGGCCCAUUGUGGAGCGCUGUAGGCGCCGAUUAGCACUUUUUGCCUGUAAAACGGCGCCUGUGGCGCUAAAUAGGGUUUGUCAGGAGGUCUUAUUGGACAAACACAUAGGAGUUGAGAGCGAGCGACGGGAUUUGGACCGGCACUUUCAUCGAUCCCGGUUUUAAGAACCUGCUCCAGGUAUUCAGUUUUUAUUUUCGGUGUUCGGAACUUUCUAAAAGAUUUCCUGAAUUGGUUUUCUUCUUUUUGUUUUUUCUCCUUUAUUCUUUUUUUUCUGUUCUGUUUCAAAAAUGAUUUGGAUUUUCAAAGAAUGUUUCGGAAUUUGAUAAAAUCUUCCGGAAUGUUUAUCAAAAAGUUUUGGAUUUUGCGAUUUUUUUUUUACAAAAUUUUAAAAAAUAGUCCUGAAUUUUUGAAUUAUUUUGGAAUUUGAUGAAAUGUUGCAUAAGUUGAAAGAAUGUUUAGGAAUUGUAAAAUUAUUCCGGAAUUUAAAGAAAAAUAGGAAAAUAAAUAUUAGAUUCUUUUCAAACAAACAAAUAAGCUUGGCCAGCCCAGUUGGUGCGAGCCGAAGAUGGGCUGGCCCAGUUGGGGCGAGCCGAAGAUGGGCUGGCCCAGUUGGGGCGAGCCGAAGAUUGGCUACCCUUCUGCGUCCGACUGACCAAUGCACGGCACAUAGCAUCUUCCGUCCUAUUGGACGCUUUUUAUUUCCAGCAGCGCGCGGACGCACACAGGAAUCGUCACUAAGCCGGCCCACUAACAGAAAACAACGGAUAAAAUCCGAAACAUUUAGAUAAAAAUUGUAGAAUAUUUUUUCAAAUUUUGGGACAUUUUUGUGAAAAAAUACGAAAUAUUUGGAUGAAAAUUCUGGAACAUUUUUCUCAAAAACAGGAAGAAUUUUUCCAAAAUUGCGGAACAUUUUUUCAAAUUCCAUAACAUUUUUUCCAAACUCUGAAACAUUUUUUAAAAUUCGCUAACAUUUAGCACAUUCCAGAAUUGUUUUUUGAAAAUCUAGAACAAUUUUUCAACUUCAGUAACAUUAUUUUUUCAAUAUUCAGAACAUCUUUUCAAUUCCGAAAUAUUUUUUGAAAUUAUCGAAUAGUUUUCCAAAAUCCAUUUUUUAAAUCAAGAACAUUUUUUGAAAAUCUAAAACAUUUUACAAAAUCCGGAACAUUUUUAGGAAAAAUAAUAAUAACUUUUUAAAAAGCAAGAACAUUUUUCGAUUUUGAAGAACAUUUUUUGAAAAUCUAGAACAUUUAAAAAAAACAUAAAGGAAAAAAUGAAAUAAAACAGUUCAGGGAACUUUCUAGAAAUUUGCCAAAACCAGAAAAAACCGGUUUGAACCUUUAAAAGGUUCCCAAAACAGGAACGCUUAAGAAGUUAUAUGGGCCGGCACGUUGUGUCGCUGCUCGGUCGCUCGCGUGUUCGAAGCACCGACUGCUUGACGCAACGAGUGGCAAAUAGGAUAUUCCAGAGAACAAGCUAGCCAGCGUACUGGCACGGGGAAUCUGGGUUUGAUUUGUUUUCAUUUCAAUUGAGUCUAGCUAGGAGUACUAUAGUAUGUUGUAAGUUGUCUGGAUUUGAAGCUGGGUUAGUAAAUCUUUGUGUCCGUUGAUUGCUGCUCCAAAAUUCAUGUUUUUUAAUUUUUUUAGAAACAAGCAAAUCUAUGUUCUUUUUUGCGUGCUACCUUGUUUUAGAAUACAAUGAAGGGUGCAAUCUUAAUCAAUAAUGCAUUAUCCAUCUUUCUUUCAUACCAGUACUGAUCCGGAUUGGGGUUGAACACCUCGGAAAAAUUAGGAUUGCAGGCAAAAUUGAAGAUAAAUUUGCUGGAGAAAUCCAAUAAAUAAGAUUAAAUAAAAGAAGGACCCAAUAAAGAUGGGAUGCUAUAAAAGGAUUGGGGAUGAACACAUCGGGAAAAUCAGGAUUAUAGACAAAAUUGAAAAUAAAAUUUCUAGAGAAAUCCAAUAAAUAAGACAAAAUAAAAGAAGGACCCAAUAAAGAUGGAAUGCUAUAAAAGAGUGCAAUCACAAUAAUGCAUUAUCCAUCUUUCUUUCAUACCGGUACUGAUCCCGAUUGAAGAUGAACACCUCAGGAAAAUUAGGAUUGCAGACAAAACUGAAAACAAAUUUGCUAGAGAAAUCCAAUAAAUAACAUGAAAUAAAAGAAGGACCCAAUAAAGAUGGGAUGCUAUAAAAGAAAUAAAAGAGAAAAUGCAGAGGAGAUCCGAUAAAGAUGAGAUGUUGCGCUAUUUCUCCUAUAUAUAAGAACAAAAAAGAGAGGACACACAUGAGAAAAAGUAAAAAGGAGGCAUGCAUGAUAGAAAAUAAAAUAAAAGACAUGUUUGAUAAGAUAUAAAUAGUGAUGAAACAGGGACCAAUACCUAUGACAUGCAUGAGAAGAAAUAGUGGCGCAAGUACGUGCGUGCACAUGAGACCAUACAAAAAAUUUCUUUUCCAAACAAAAACAAUUCUCUUUAUGAUUAAAAGAUCAUGUAUGUUUUUGAGAACCCUUCAUGUAUUUAAGAAAUAUGAAUGUGAAAAAUGUGUUCAAGAGUUACAACAAAAAUAUUUGCACAUACAAAAUAAAUAUAAGCGUAGUUUUCAAAAUAGAUGUAAUUAGAGGUGUAGACCAUAUCAAAUGUAGCACUCUAUUGCGAUACUUGGGCUUGAGGACAAAAAAAUGCGACACCAACAUCUUCUUUCAGACAGAUUGCAAACAACAAGCCAAGAGACUCUGCAGCGAAGUGGUGAAUAAAUUAUCAUAAAGAAGACGUUGGUGAACCAAACUAGGUGAGCAUAGAGGAGUUCCAGAGUGAAGGGAGGACGAGCUGACGACGGUGGCGCUAGAAUGAGCUUGAGGUCAGGGAUCGGAGCCAGGAGCUGGAAUUAUGUUCAACAUGCCCUAAGUUGGUGAUGUUUAAACUGGAAACCAAUAUUGAUACACACAUGUUUACAUAGUGUGCUAAUGUGCCAUCGUCUGUUUUUGUCAUUUUCCUUUACCGUCCCUUAGCAACAACCCAUUUUACACAUGACAUGAAUAAAUACAUGAUCACUUACCUGUUUCUUUGUAUGUAUUAAAUCUACAUGCAAGCCGUGUUGAAAUAAAAGACAUGUGGAAUCUUGAACUAGGCUUUUGUAGGCUAACACCAUCUUUGUUUGGGCUGUAGCUAUAAAUUCUCAGAUUAUAAACCUUUUUUUUAAAUAAGAGUGUGUGGUAAUCUUUUCUCCCGUUGCAAAGUACGAGCCCUUUUGCUAGUAAAAAAAGAAAAUUGGCCAUCCCCAGAAUGGCGGGGGGGGGGGGGNNNNNNNNNNNNNNNNNNNNNNNNNNNNNNNNNNNNNNNNNNNNNNNNNNNNNNNNNNNNNNNNNNNNNNNNNNNNNNNNNNNNNNNNNNNNNNNNNNNNNNNNNNNNNNNNNNNNNNNNNNNNNNNNNNNNNNNNNNNNNNNNNNNNNNNNNNNNNNNNNNNNNNNNNNNNNNNNNNNNNNNNNNNNNNNNNNNNNNNNNNNNNNNNNNNNNNNNNNNNNNNNNNNNNNNNNNNNNNNNNNNNNNNNNNNNNNNNNGGGGGGGGGGGGGGGGGUGCGUCAAAUUGGAAAAUAGACUAUAUCAGACGCUGGAGGCACCAAAUAAAAAUCACCCUUGUUUUGGGAUGAAUAUUUUUGUCUGAUAGUUGUUUUGAGUAAAUCAUUUACAUUAAAGUAAAAUACACCAGAGUUCCUAAAGUAUUACAAGUAUGUAAAUUAGGUCCUAAAAGUUUGAAAUUGUUCAUUACUGGUUCUAUAUGUGUAUUAUACCCAUAAUUUUUAACAACUACUUGACACACUUGGAAUACUUUUAGGACCAUCGGUGAAUGACUUACACACAUCUAGGACCCCCGAUGAAUGAUUUCAAACUUGUAUGACCUACUUGUUGACACACUUCGAAUACUUUUAGGACCUUCAAUGUAUUUUACUCUUACAUUAAUGGGCUCGAGAUAAAUUCACCAACGGUUACCAACUCGUCCGCCAAAUUCACUUUGGUGAUUGAACUCAAGAAUACACAUAUUACGGUCACGGAACUUACAUCAACAAGCAGAGACAGUCACCGCAUACUCUUGGACUACAUAUUAAGGUGAUGUGGCAUACACUUUGACCUAUUGAUUAGACAACAUGACAAAAGCGGGGAUUUUUUCACAAAAUUUCAAGUGGACAUCAGUUAGACUUUGUCAUCAAACACCGUGAAAAAUGUUCGUGUCUCGUCGAUUUCUUCAAGCGUGAACGCAUGAUGGACAACACUGGAGGGGACAAAGUGAUUUACCCCAAGAGGAGUUCCUAGAUCACGCCCCCGUGUGAAUCUUUGAGCCAUACAUUUGCGGAAGUUCCUCGCACGAUGCAUUGGUACCCUCCCCCUUCGGGAAUCUCUUGGAUCCCCCUGACGGCAAGGUCCAAGAGUUAGAUUUGGGUGGCAUUGAGGAACAAAUAUAUUAGUAUGACACCAGCAACGAGCCCAAGCAAAGCACCAACGAUAUGCGGGCGACGAGCAGCAGGAGUACCCUCUGGUGGUGGGUUGGGGAAGUGGUUCAUUGUAGUGCCCCAAGUGUNCGCACCUAAGUGGGCUUAGUCCCACUUAGCGGCCCACUUCCCCUCUCUCUCGCGCAGGAGCCGCGCAACGUUCCUCGUCUUCCUCCUUUCCAGCUCGGCACCAGGGCCCCCCCUGUCAGCCUCUCACCUCGCUCCUCUCUGCUUUCCACCAAAGCUCCCCGCACGCACAUGGCCGUGCCGCGUUCCUCACCUCUCCUUCCCUCUAUUUGAUCCCUCCUUGGCGUCCGUGCCAAGGCUAGGGUUCCUCUUCCCCGCCGCCACUUCCUCCCAUCUCCCUCUCUUCUCUAUUGACGGCCUCAGGUAAGAGGAGGGCGAGUCCGCCAUGGCCGGAUCGUGAAGGUGCUCGCCGCCGUUGCUGCUACGCCACUUCUUCCUCUCCAAGGCGACGGCGCGCUCGCGGGAACUCGUGGGGAUCCAUUCCCGCAGCUAGAUCGCGGCGUCCACCUCUUCUUCCCCUACUUCAUCGUUGUCUCCUUCCGCUCCAGCAAGCUCCUCCGACGCGGGUCCUUCCUCGCCGUCCUCUGCUUCCUCUCCUGUCGGCUCGCGUCCUUCGGCUGUGGGGUGAGAAGAUCAUCCUUCCCCCUCCCCUGUCUUCGAUCUGGCAUAGGGAUCGCGUAGUUGGACGCCGAGACACUCCCUGUCGUCGGCGCCGCCGCGCACCGUAGAUAGGUCGCCAUGGUGCUUCUCGAGCAGGCUUAGCAUAGGAAAUGGAACCGUGGGUGCCUCUUCAUCCUUCCAUCCAUGAGCCAUUGCUCGAUUUACACCAUGUCGCCGGCGAGGGCCUUCCCCUGUUUCGGUCGGCCGCCGGCAGUAGAUCAGAAGAGGAGACCUCUUCAGUUCGUUUGCUGCGCAUGUUAUAUCAGACACCGUAGCGUAGCCCAGUGGUUUGUGUCCUGUUGUGCCUGAUGCAGGUGCUGGGUUCGAUCCCCCCACGGCACCUUUUUGUUUCCUUGAUUUCUCGGCACAGUAAACUGCAGGGAUUGCCUUACCUUGCCUGAACUCUCUGUUCUGUCGAUAGUUGACAGUAGCAGAGUGGUAGGGGGUAGUUUGUGGCAUCAGAGGGUACUGGGUUCGAAUCCCAGGAAGCCCCCCUUUUUGUUUUUCUCUUUGCUGCAAUUUUAUUUCAUCUUUGCUAUUGUUGUUCCUAUUACAAUCAUAGGUGUCCAUAGCAUCUUGUUUCU
rnacentral:lncRNA from 1 species